UGUUCUAAUCUUGAAUUUGUCCAAAAGAUUGGAUCUUUCAAGUUUAUGAUGUAUGGGUUUGUAAAUUGGAGCUCGUAGCAGCUGAAGGGAUCAUUUUUCUAUUACUCCAGUUUCACUCAUGGGCUGCACACUUAUCAGAUUUUACUGCAAAGAGGGCUAUCUUUCUUUCAAUUUCUUGCUCUGAAAGCACAGGUCAAGGUAUAAAGUAGGCCAAGUAAUCCUUUUGCCUUUUUGCCUUUAUUUUUUUGGAGCCAUUGUUUGGGUUAUUCAUUUUCUUUAGAAUUGGGAUCAAUAUAACUACAUGUAGUGAUUAAUCAUCUUAGGCUCACUUUUGCUGAAAAGUCUUUUUUCUUUUGGGAUUUUUGUUUCAGUUUCCAUAAUUUGUUGUUGUUCGAGAAAUCUUUUGUAGUUCAUAUUUAUGAUCAGCUGAGAAGUGAGAACCCUCUGGAAGCUACUUUAAAGUGAUGAAUUGCACUCUCUCUGUAAGGAAAUGCUAUUUGUUUACUCAAUUAGGGUGUUUUUGUAUUCAUAUACUAUGCAUAGGUUGUAUGUGUGUGUGUGGAUUUUUGAAGAAGAUAUAAUUGGCGUAAAAACUUUGACUUGUCUGCAUUUGAGCAAAACUUCAAAAGAAAUCUAAUAUAUUUGGUUUACAUUAAGCCUUUUAUGUCCAAAUGCAAUAUUUGCUUAGUGCUGAACUAUUAUGCAAAUGCAAGUUUUUGACUUGGCAUUCUUUACGGUUUACUUUUGCGAUAACGCCUGAUGAGGCUUAUUUUUCUGUUUACUAGUAAGUCAGGAUGUUAUGCUGCCCAUUUUUUUUUUUUUUUUUGUGAGAGUGUGUGUGUGUGUGUGGUUUUUUUCUUUUUAACUUCUUUAAAGGCUUUCCCUAUAAGCAAACAUUAGGGCCAGCUAUUUUCUUUUUUUUUUCUUUUCUUUUUUCAAUUAUUUGGAUUUCAAAGUUGAGGAGCCAAAUCGAGUAGUUGAAUUUGUGCGUCAUACUUCAUAGGCUCCACUUGGCAGAUUGCACCAGGUGAGUAGUACAGAAGAUUGGGAGUGUUGCCCUGUUUUCCCUCAAAUUCCUGGUUCUAAAUAAGCUUGAGCAAUCCUUUUUAUGCAAAACCCAAAAAUUGUGCUACCUUCCUGCUUCUCUGCUUCUCCCAUUUUUGUGCCAAACAUGAAGUUUCCUGAUAUUCUCUGUUAGUGACUUCCUUUUUUUGUUUGUUUUUAAGAUACUUUGAGUCAUUGUUGAUAGCUUUUUGAGCAUUGACACAAUUAUAUCUCUUAAACUUGCUUAUAAUUUUCUUUUGGAGGUCAGGAAGGUUAGGGAACGGUUGUUUUUGGUGUUUGUGUUGGAAACAUGAAGUAUAUUUAACUUCUUGUCAUGUCAAAGGUCCAAACAAUGACAAUGGAUAUCUCUGCUAGAUGUUGGACCUAAAGAUGGUUUGUCAUUGUUGCUUUAUGUUGUUUCAAAGUAUUCUGCAAUAGAUUCUCUUAGGAAAAAUCAUGUUGGUUUUCUUCUGGUUUAAGGCAGAAAGCCAUUAGGUUCGUUAUAACUAAUGUACAUAAUUUGAUGUAGGAAUUCUUCAUCUGAUGUUGCAGACUAUCUUGAUCACAUCUAAUGGAGCUUGUAAGCUGGGUGCAUUUGGUUUCACACCUACAGGUCACUCAUCCAGUGAUUCAGCUAAUGUGCGGGCUUUCCACUAUGCUGUGAGUGUAAAUUUUCAUAUCACAGUGAAAAACAGAAUAUAAUUGCACGUUUUUUUUAGUUCAUUUUUCUACUGCAUUUCUAGUUAUUGAAUUUGUGAAUUGAUAGCAUUUCUUUUAUCUGAAUCUUAUUGCUGUUAAGCAUGCUGCUGGACCUGCAUUAGCUUUUUGAUUUAUCAUGGAAAAUCUGUUGUUUGAAUAGUAGUAUCUUAAACAGAUUUGGUUGCUAAUUGGUUCUUGGAAAGGUUUAACACAAAUUUUCUUCAUAAAUUAGUGCUUGGAGCUCUAUCAAUGCUAUAUCUGAGCUCAAGUAUGAGCUAUAUAUGAAGAGGAGCCAGGCAGAUCCAUAUGGUUUCAUGUUACAUUAGAGUUAGAUCUAUGUUGUUGAUGAGUAAAGAAUAGAAAGAAGUGUUGUGGGAGGGGUUUUGGAAGGACCGAAGUGCAUGAUAUAUGUAGAUUUGGUGAGUAUGAUCCUCUUAACGUGCUGGACUAUUAUGUUAUCACCUUAGACUCAAUCAAGACAAGUACAUCGAAGAUUAGGGAUGACAACGCGACAGGUGCCUGCCUUGCAGGGGAAGGAAUGGGACGGGAGAUUUUUCUCCUCCUACUUUAAAUGGGGUGGGGGAGGAUACCAAUAUAUAUUUUGACAAAAGCUUUGUCCUUCAUAUCAUUCGAUUCUUUUGAGUCUCUUUUGAUUAGUAGACAGACAAAAGAAUAUAUCAGUUUUUUGGUUAGAACUUACUGUUAUACUAGCACCAAAUGUUCUUGACUGUGAUUGCAACAUCUCCAAUUAUGGGAAGUAAGGGGCCGCUUGGUUUGAGGGGUUUGGCAUGUGGAAUGACAAUAAUUCCAAUAUUUAGUGCUUGGUACACUGUAAUGGCAAUUGAAAUAUUGGAAUCAUACCCAAUUCAUGAUUCCCGACUAAAUUGGGAGGAAUCACUCAAAACCCUCAGCUCAUUUCCAACAGUGAAUAAAUAAAAGACAAAAUAUUUUGUUAAAAUACUUUCUUUCUCCCUCUCCCAGACUUCCACCAUCGAACCUCCCCUUCCUCUCUGCCUUCAACACCUCUCUCUCCCCCAUGGCAUCUGGCAAUUCCUCCCCUUUUUCUUAUUUUUCCCUCUUUAUCAGCAUUUGACAACACCCAAAUGGGCUUGCCGGCAGAAAAAUAGAUUCAAAUGGAAGAAAUCGAAGAGGAAGCCGCACCAGCAAACACCGACAAGUCAUCACCGUUAUUAUCUGAAUUCUCCCCGUAAGAUCCGUUGGCCCGAGGUCGAGGUCCACCUCUACAAGCUUGGCAAAGGACCCAUCAAUGUCUUCAAGUCCAGCCUUAGUGGGUGGGACCAAGACUAGUUGGAGGUCACCGAUUUUUUUCCUUUUCCAUGGCAUCUGACAAAAUCUCUCUUCUUCUCCCACGGCCGGUCACUUCCACCUCAUCCCAGUAGACCCUUUCUUCUCCUCCCUUGCCAUCAAAUCGUCCUCCUCAUUGCAAUCGUUCUCCACAAAUCGUUCAAAUCUUUUAUUGAUUAGUCAUGAGUUUUUGUUGAUAAUCGUUGAACCAAAAACAAAAAAGAUUUGGAUUGGUAGUGAUUUGAUGAUGGGCGUGAUUAUCAAUCCAAGAACAAUAAUUAAAAAAUAAAAAAUUAAUUUUGAUACCAUUCCAACUAUAUUUAUACCAAGCACUAGUCCGUGGAAUAAUACCAGGGGUUCAAACCCAUACUAAUUUUUUGUAUAUCAUUCCAUCUCCAAUACCAAUUCCAAAACAUGAACCAAGCACCCCCUAAGAGUGUCCAUAAGAUGGAUUAGUGAUGACUAGAGAACCAAUUUCUGGAUGGCAAACACCACAAGCCCUCUAACAGAGAUCAAUGGCAUAGGAUUGAUGAUUUCUUAAUAUGUUAGGAUCCUAACAUGCCCCACUAGGAUUAUACCGCUACAGUGCAAUUGACCGCGUUCCAAACCCAAAAAUGAAGCCCUGUAGCUGAUAAUCAAGUAAAACGUGUGGCUAAAUAAAAAUCAGGCUAAAUAUAGUGGCCACCUCUGGGGCAUUCGUUUUGUUAUAUGUGUAGAAAAAAUGAGGCUAAAUAAAAAAUACGAAAUAUUGUGGCCACCUCCGGGGCACUCGUGAGGAUUGUGGGGCUAGGGUGGGGGCGGAGGAAGCCGGGGAUUGGGCGGGAGCGGGGAAACUUUUAUAACAUGGGGCGAGGGACGAGGAGAGCUCUCCCGCCACAUUGCCAUCUCUAUUGAUGAUGUCAUAUAAGUGAUCCAACCUGUAGACACCCAACUUUCAACUAGUUCUGUGACGACCCCACCUUCCUCUAGGACGUACCCCAGGGUUUAGCGGACCGUCUGUCUAGCUUUCACCAGGCCUCACUCACUAUUUCGGAUAAUAUAAUUCACAACUUCUUAACGUAAAUAAAACAACAGUUGUCAAAUUUGAAACAUACAAAUACAUUCAUUUUUGUCUCAAACUUCCAUACAAUCCCAAAUACAUCAAAAGAUUGGAGUUCUAAAUACAUUCAACCCUAAUCGAGCGAUUAGUGUGAUUACAAUUAUAAAAUUUUCAAAAAUUAGACUACGCUAGUCUGUAUAAGUCUCACGCCUCGCUCGUACCCCCUGUAAGGAAAAGAAAACUAAUAAAGUGAGUUAAAACUCAGUGAGGUCUCAAAUAGCAAGUUGACCAAUAAGUACAAGUGACAACACCAUAAUAGUAAAGUAGCGAGCAUUAACAAAUCAAGAAAAUGAGCAAUAACACUUUGGAUGACCAAACAUUAAAUAUUCAGUAUUUCAUGUAAAAGGAUACAGUUGCUUUUGUAAACUAGUUCCACCAUAGCUUGAUCAUAUAGUAGUUGACACUCUGUCAACUUUCAAGUAAGGUAACUAGUCCUGUAGUACAUCAUUUAACUCUAAUCUCCGUCCACCAACCAAAUCCCUUACCGGACCCGAACUCCAAGAUAAACACUGAUAGUAAUACUCGAGUAUACCGAUUAGUCGAGAAGAUAACACUCCGCUCGACAAAAACUAAAGAUUUAGGGUUCGUUAUCGAAUCGGCUAAACCCUUGCCGGUUCGAUUCGAUUAACUAGCCACAAGGUUUCUGAAAUUUCAGACAAGAUACGAAUCAUAUUCAUAUACAUCAAGUCAAUUUCAAUCAAUGAACAAGAAUAUGACACAUUAGGGCAAGUGCGAUAAAGUACAUCCUUGCUCGAUCAAACCAAUUACAUAUUAUUCGAUCACAUUGGUCAACUAUUGAAAACAAGUAUUAAGUUCAAUCAGGUAUUUGGAAGCACCCACCAAAGAUUUAGUGCUUCUUCGGAUCACGUUCAGGUAUUACUCCUGAUUUGGAGUCCAAAUCGGCGAUAAAAUAUCGUUUCAGGUAUUACUCCUAGUUUAAGAGCUUUGAAAUCAACUAAAGUUCGAAACUUAAGCGUUUCAUUUAAUGAAAAACAAGUAAUUGAAACUCAUUUGGUUUCAUGUUCUAUAAAACUCAUGCUCGAUCUUUUAGUUUUGGUAAUAAAGUGAGUAAAAUUUUGAAAUUCCCAUUUGAGUCGAAAAGACGAGAAUAACGUAUUUUUAUUGAUCGUUACUUUCAUUUUUCUCAAGGGUACGAGUUUCGGCAAAAUUCCAAAUUAUAUAUAUCUACGAAAGUAGACUCGACUACCCUAAACAAAUCAAGUUUAAUUCGUCCUCAAAUCUUGGCCUAAGUCGCGAGUACACACGCCUAACUCUUGAGUGAAAAUUUGGGCGGUACGUCCUUUGUAUUUCGUUAUUUUUCAGCAAUUUAUGGCUUUAUUAUUUCCUCAAUUCAGCCCAAGGUCACGCAUAAGCAAUAUUAACACAAUAGCCUUUUAACUAAACUCAAAGUCAUCCAAUUACAAUACAAGUUUAGCAAUGCAACCGGAAACCAAUUUUAAAGACAAAGGCUAAACAGAAGGUUUGAUGUCUCUUGGCGUUUCGGUCACAACUGAAACUACACUUAUCGGUUUGAGGUAAAUUUUAUGGCGUUUUGAAUCUAAGACAGAGAAUUAUAUUUCCUAUGAAGGUAUCAACAUCUAGUUCGUGCAUUUUCAAGGUUAAAAUAUGCAAUCUCAGAGAAAACAGAAAACUAUCCUCGAAAAAGAGCAUUCGGCAGUCAAGGGUAUUUUAGUCAUUUCACACGUUAUGGUGCUCCGAUUGAGUUGAAAUUUUGCAGGCAGCUAGUUAACUCUAUUCCAUACAACUUUCAUGUUUUAAUUUAGACCUGAUUCAGCCUCUAUCAUACUCGGAUAUACAGGUCAGAAACAGGACAGUUUGGCCUACAAUUUUUGGAAUUUGAUGAUUCAAUACUUGAAAAUCACAUUUAUGUCUUGAAUCACUACUCCAAGUCCCUAUUUAAGUUCAUCAAUAUCAUAUACUAGAUAAAAACAAGAAUCACAACUGAAAAUACCAAAUCCUAGCUAAACAUUCCAUCAUAUCAUGUAAAACUCACUAAUUAACCAUCAUAAACCAAGAUUAAGAGCUUCUAUUCAAACUUUAGCAAAAUUGAGAAGAGAAAAAGGAAAGGCAGCCAUAAUACCUUUCAAGGCUGCUUGUAGGAGAAAAUCACAACCCUUCCUUCCAAAACUUUAUCACACAAAACUUCCUAAGUUUUCAAGUGAAAGUUUAAUUGAUUUAGAUUUUUGAUUCAACUCAAACAAGGUCAAAAAUCAAGAUUGGAAUUGAAGUGUUUCUUUCCUCUUUUCUCUCUUAAACUCUCGGCCACCUUGGAGGAUAAUGAGGAAGAAAUGAAGCUCAAGAAAAGAUAAGAAUGUUCGAAUUGGUUUGGUCAAACAAUCUUUGGAUGGUUGCCAAGUGUCGCCGCAAGAUUAAGUCCUUAAUUUUUCUUCUUUUUCCUUUCUUUUUGGUCAACAAUUUCGGCCCUCUCUGGGAUAAUCAAGAGCUGAUAUUUCUGAAAUAAUAGGUAAUAAAUUGGUAGUCAAGUAGUGUAUGCAAUCGGGUAAUGAAUGAUAUGCAUCGGUUCAAAUCGAUUUUCCUUGAAUCACGUGUAUUAGUGUUUUUAUUUAUGAUUCACUCACUUAUGAUUAUCACUUCUAAACAUACAUGAUGGGAUUUUUAUAUCAAUACAAGUUUAAAUCUGAUUUUAUACCUGUUGACUGUAAGUGUACAGGCCGAAAUCGUAAUGUAGGGUAUGUAUCAGGUCGAUCCCACGAGAAGCAAAUUAAACAAGUACUAGGUUCUUAUUUUUCUCUAUUAUUUAGACUUGCAAUAAAUCUAAGUAAGAAAAUUAUUAUGCUGCUAUUGUUUACAAAUAUGGUUUAAUUAAUGUUAAAUGCAAAUGGAGAAAUUUCACUAAAGAUUGAAUUUAGGGAUGUAGAUUUCACUUAUGGCAUAAACAACACAAAUGAAUAGAUUUGCCUCUUGUUAUUUUUCUUGUUUAAUCAGGGAUUCAUUUCCAAUAUUAUCAAAUCUCAUUCUCAUGAUGAAAUGGUUUAGAGUAAUAUAGGGUUUGUUUGGAUUGCUUCAUAUUUCCCCAAUUUUAUUUACUUACAUCAUCUUUACAAUUUCCAAUACACCUUUUUAUCUUCUCAAUAUCUUUUUAUCUCACAUACAUCACAUCACAAAAAGUGCUACAGUAAAAAUAUCUCAAAUAAUCCCAAAUAACUUACAAUCCAAACAGACCCAUAGUUUUCCCUAUUUUUAUGGUGAAAUACUAGUUCUACUCUGUUUUCCUUCAUGAAAUACUGGAAAAUCCACUCAAGUUUACAUCUAUUUUUAUGAACAUACAACUCAAGAUCAACUCAUGUUUUUUCAUUGUUACUAUCAAUUCCCAUUGACUAAUAACAACUAUGAACAUGCUAUUGGUGAUCAAACAACAAGAAGUAAUUACAACUGCACAAAUAGACAAGUUAAUACAAGAUAUAACAAGUGUAAAUCACAUUCAAUUCAUAUUAUUUAGCCAUAAGUUUCAUCUACUUCUUAGAUAAAGAAAAUUAGCUACUCAUGAAUGAAAUAAAAAUCAAACUCACAAGUUUAUUAAUGCAAAACAUCAUAAAGUACAACUACAAGAAAGAUAAAAGAAAGCUUAGCCAAUUAAUGGUGAAACCUUCAAAUUUCUGCUAUGUUCUUGUAUAAGAUGAUUAUAAGAUGAGUCUUCAAUUGUUUUCUCAAGAACUUCUAACUAGAGAGAAAAUGUUAUCAGAUGAAAAACUCCCUACGUAUGGCGUCCAGACCUCUUUUAAUGUCUCUGCAUAAAAACUGUUCAAGAGCUCCAUUUUUCCAAGUUAAAUUCCACCUUUUGAUUCCUAAAUCUCAACUUUGUUAGAAUAGUCAAUAACCAAUGUUUUUGACUUGAAAAUAAGUCACCUUUCUUGUCCUUUUGUCUUCUGAAGCAUGUGCACCGAGUUCCCUUGUAAUUUAUGGCUGGAAAGUAGUAUAAAUACAAGAGAAAUGGCUGAACAAAUUGCAGCUUUUCGGCUACAAAACGCGACUACACAAAACGCGGCAUAAACUCGCGUUUUGUUAACUUGGCCUUGCUUCAACUGCGAUUUUCUCUAUGGUGAAGGUCGAACUAGCUUUUGUGUAAAACACAAAAGUUGCAGCCCUUUGAGUUAGCUUUACAAUGCUUUAAAAAUCAUCCAAAUCGGAGUUUUGUAGCCAGAUAUAUGGUCGAAAUACUAUCGUCUGGUCAAACCCCUGUUUCGAUUUUUGACCAUAGAAUGCAGUUUCUGUAUUCCAACUUUUUGUCCAUGAAAACUGCAGAAUUGGAUUUUGAUGUCUUCAUAACAAUUGUAGGUCUCUUUCUUAUGUUUAAAAUGGUAUAAAGAUUACCUCAAUCCGAUAAGUGUAGUUCCAGAUAUAGUCGAAAUAUCGAAGAGUGUCAAAACUGUCUUGAAUUGCAUUUCCUCAUUUUGAACGUUUUUCACUUCAUUUCUCUUUUAAGCACUUGAAUUCAUCACCAAUUAUUUAUUUUUCAUCUCACUUGACAUUCUUUGGUGAUUGAAUCAUUAAACCUGCAUAAAAAUGAAGUUUUUAUCACUAAAAUCAAUAAAAAUGUAAUAACGGCCACUUUUACCAAAUAAUGUAUAUUUUUACUAAAAUCUAUUUAUUUUAGUUAUAAAACUAAAUAAUCAAAACCAAAAUCAACUAAUACAAUGCACUUAAAAAUAUGUAAAAUAAACUCUUAUCAAAUAUCCCCACACUUGAAUCAUUGAUUGUCCUCAAACAAUUAAAAACACUAACCAACAAUGAUUCCAAGAUUGAAAAUAAACAUACGUAGCAUUUCAACUUCAUUUCCUUGAAUCAAGGUAAAUAACCCUUAUGUGAUCUUUCAAUUAACUUCAAAUACUCAUAGUAUCAAACAAAGAAGAGCCUAGUAUGUGGCGACCCCACUUCUCCCUAAGGCAAACCAACGGGUUGGCGGGCCGCCUGUCCAACUCUCGCCAGGACUCACGCAAGCAUUCUAACCCAAAUUCUUUCGAAGAAUAAUCUAAUCUAUUACAAAACAAUUCUCCCGAAAAAGACCGUAACUAAAAUCACAUUAACUUCAGAGAUAGCAGUGAUUUAAAAUAGCCAAUCGAAGCUCUAAAACGUCCCACGUGCUACAUACAAGGUAUAAAGUCGUAUCAAUCCAGAUGGAUAAUUACAUACAUCACUAUUACAAACUUACAAGUCAAACACUCGAAUUAGGGUUUACACAUUUUCCAGUUUCAAGUGGCAAUCCAAAAUGAAAGUACAUAAUCUCAAUUAACGCAUUACAGCCCACAAAAUAAGUCUUAGUAUUCAAAUACAUUCCAAAAGGAAAACAUGAGUAAGUUUCAAAGCUUUCAACUUCCAGAGCCUGUUAAGAAAAACAAAUAAACGUGGGGUGAGCUAACGCUCAGUGGUGCCCAAAAACAUGCAAUCAUGUAAAUCAAACACCGAGUAAUAACUUAACCAAAUUGAACAGUUAGGAAAGCGUAUAACAGCACAAGGUAGGAUACAGGGGCUCUCAGGAGCCAUUUUCCUCGCUUAAUCACCAUUCAUCGUAGUUGACCCUCCGUCAACUCUCACUAUUUAUAGUCCAUGUAGAUCCACUCAUUUUUACUCAUAACCCGUCACCGUUCAUACCCCUGUCCCGGACCCGAACAACGACUAAGAACGCAGUAUACUCGAGAUAUACCCGUAGAUGAUUGAUCGAGGGAUUCACCCAACGACGUUAUUGUAGUAAGAUUCAUGCGUCGAAGGAUUCACCCAACGACGUUAUUGCGUUUAGAUUCAUGAGAAAAUGAUUCACGCAAGUCACCACUCGAACGGCUAAUGCGAUAAAGUACACACUGCUCACUUCGAUGCAUCAAAAACUAGUUUGCAAAUUAUCACAUAUUGAGUCAAGAAAGCACUUUAACCAAGUAAGCAUAGAACAAGCAGGGACACUCACCAAGAGUGAAGUUCAGAUGUCAAAUUGGGAAUCGAAUUUCGCGUCCUAGCAAUAUCCUAGAAUACCAAAUUUUGAAACUAUAAGUUUUUAUUCAGUUUUUAAGCUUAUACACAUCGAGAUUUAUCUAAUAUAUUACUAGUUUACUUUCCCAUAGUAAAUUCAAGAAUCUACUUAGGUUGAAGCUUGACAAAAGUAGUAGAAAUGUUUCUUAUAGUUUUCCUUGAGAUAUUUUUCCUUAUAAAAGGGUAACUAGUAUUAUUUUUUUGAAAUAAGUCGACAAACCUCUUAACAUCAAAGCUAGAAAGAUACCUUGAAAAUUUCUUUAAAGCUACGGUUCUUGCAAAAAUUAUCACUAAAACUGUUUUACCUAAAAUAAAGUUUCUUGCCGAGCAAGUUUCUACAUUUUUAAUUAAAGUUAUUAAAAUUCUUAUUUUGGAACUUUUCCUACCGACAACUAUCCAAGGGCAAAUUUUAAAGAAAGAAAAGGAAUUAAAAUAAGAUUUAGGGUUUUUAAAAGCUAGAGAAAUUAUUUUCUAUAACUAUCAAGGUUAGUUUGAACUAAAGGAAAAUUUCGAGUUGGCAAGGUUUAGAAAAUCCUUUCACGAAAUUUCUAACUUUAACCUUCAGUGCUAAGUUCUAUCGUACCAUACUAGAGUGAAGAUAUAUUUAAAUAGCUUGCUUAAAAACUUCUCAAGUUCACAGGACCAAAAUGAAUUCCUUACGAUUCCGAUUUACAAGCACAUAAUAUUUCAGAUUUGUCAAUAUGACCAACUCACAUUUCAAAUAGAAAUCUCACUAGGGUUUCGUCAAUCAUUAGCCCUAGGUUUCAACAGAUUCAAUUCUGAUCAAAAAUAAAACGAAUGACCAAGGUUUCGUCAAUCAUUAGCACUUGGUUUUGGCAAGCUCAUAUCACAUUUUAAUUAAAACAAAAUGAAGGUAAGACCUCCAAGAAAUUCCAGCAAUUAAAGUUCAUCAUCCUUUAAUAUUUAUAAAAUCAUUCAAAUGGCCAAGGGUUUCAUCAAUCAUUAGCCCUUAACAACCAUCAAUCACUUCCAACCACAAUUAAAUCAGGAAUUCAAAUCACAAUUAAGCUAAAUGUUCAAUCCAAGUCAAAAUUCAGUUUCAUGAAGAAACAGGACAUUCAAGCAGGACAGCCUACUUUGAGGAAUCAUGGACAGCAGUACACAUGGAGGAAAAAUAUGAAAUUUCUACAGAACCAAGGCUCAUGAUUCUAGUUUCAAAUGCCAUUGACGGCACCUUAAACGGAUUUUCCUACACCAAGAUAUAAGCAUUUUAUUGAGACUGGUCAGUGAAAUCCGAAAAUCUGAAGACUCAUUUUUCACUUGUGAAAAACUCCUUUUUCUCUUUUAACACCAUAAGGUUUUUAUUCAAACCAUCCAUACAUUUCUUAUAGAACUCUAAAACAACAUAUUUCAGACAUUUCCAACCAUUAUGUUUCAAAGAAAAAUUUUAAAACCAAGUUGAGAUUCCAACUCAACCUUCGGCUACCACAAAAGAAAUUCCAGCAUUUAUAUGCCAAUAUUUUUGGUUCAAUCUUUCAAUAUAUCCAAUAUUUUAUUGCUAAACAACUUACACAACUUAAAAUUUACAUCUCCUAUGUAUUUCUAAAUCAUUAUAUUCCAAGGGGAAAAAAAUAAAAUAAAAUAAAUUUCCAGAAACCAAUUAAAAUUUUCAAAGACAAACUGAAAAUUCUGGUUCAUAACCCUCGGCCAUCAAUACCUUUCCAGCACUUAGGGUUUUAUAAAUCCAACUUUUCCUUGGCUAAAACAUGAUUUUAGAUUCUCAAAUUCGUCAUGUGAACCUUUGGCUAGCUAAUUAACAUUUCUGGUUCAAAAUCGAAUUCGAAUAACAGUUUCAAACAUCCCAAAAGUCCAGAAAUCUGUCCAGCUAGUCACGGAUGAACAUGUAUGAAGAAACUUUCUGUUUUCAUUUUAUUUUCUUGGUUAAAACAUAGUAUUACUUACUCAAAUUUGACUUGUAAACACUUAGUUAACCGAUUAACAUUUCCAGCUCGAAAUUAAGUUCAAACAACUGUUAUAAUCCUCAAAAUUUUCAGGUUUAACUCACGGUAGUUCAGAAAAAAUUUUUUUAGAAAUUGUAUGUUCUUAAUCUAGCUUUUUCCUUGGCUAAAUCAGUAUUUUAGGAACUCAAAUUCAACAUGCAAAGCCUUAAUUGUAUUAAUCAUCCAAGUUUAAGUUAACUAAUCAUAAUCUUAGGUUUUGAUCAUCACAACAAAGCAGAUUACAUCAUGAAAUUCUUAAUCAAUUCUUGGUCAACUAUUUUCUUUUCAAAACAGAAUUUUCUUAUGCCUUAACAUCAUCAUCCGAGUCUAGAUUCCACAUGCAACACCCUAAUCAACUUAAUCUUUCACUUUUUAGUUAACUAAUCAUGAUCUCAACCUCAGGUUAUCAAAAUUGGAUAGAUUAGAAACUGCAUUACUUUGCUAAUCUCUCGGCCGAACUAUUUAGCCAUCCAGUUAGAUUUUUCUUUUUCUAAUGUCUCAUCCGAUGGUUUAAAAUCAACAUGCAAAGGUGGAACUAACUUAUUCAUCUUGUCUUAAGUUAGGGAGACGCAUCUUUAAGUUCAGAUUGUCACAGGGAUGCAAAAAUAAAGCUACAUUUCCAAACCAGUUCCUCGGCAAAAACAUUUUCAUCAAAACAGAAUUUUCUAGUGUCUUGAAUUUAUCAACCGAUUGCACAAGCAACACAUGCAGGCACUGAUAUGUCUUUAUCUAUUAGUAAUUAACCUAAUUUAGCCCAGCAAUUACCUCAGAUACAAGCUAAGCCUACGCACAAGAAGUCUGGAAUUUCUUUCUUCCUCUCGGCUCUCACGCACGGCUUGGAGGGUUGGUUGCGGUUGCAGUGGUUGCGGCUGAGAACUGGUUGCAGCUGGUGGAGAUGGAGGUGCAGAAUGGUGAAGCUCACUCACGAUUUUCUCCCUGGUUUCGCUCCAGCUCACGGCAGAACCAGAAAAUUUUGCAACUCACGGCUUCUUCUCUCAGUUCCUCUUUGUCGAUGAUAACGAGACAAAGAGGAAAUGUGGUUGUGGAGAGGAAGUGUUGUGGUCUGAGGGAAUUUUGUGCAGAGGAAAUGGAAUGGUGGUUUAUGAUAUAGGAACGAAGAGGUAGAGAUAUGGUGCCACGGUUUUGGAGAAGGGUUUGAGUGUAGGAAAUGGUUACAUAUAGAAUUGGUGAAAAUGUGAUUGGCCGAUUGGGGCGGUGAUUGAGAUGCUGUCAGAAGGAUUGUUUGGUUUUGCAUGAAAAUGUUGUGGUUGUAAGGCAUUUUAGUCUUUUCACUUUGCUUCCUAACCUCUACUUAAAUUCUCCAUUCUAAUUUUAAAACAAAAAAUUAUCCCCAAGUGUGAUUUGAACGCCUAAUUAUACACUAGUAUACUUAAACCAUUUUUUUAUCGAAUAUUUAUCGAUUAAAAAUUUAAUAUUAAGGUUCCUAGUAAUUCCUAACAUUAUUUAGCGAUUAAAUUAGUUAUCAGAAUUUUCAAUUAUUUAUUCUCAAGAGAUAGAGUUAGUCUAACUCGAAAUUUAUCAAUUUAGUAAUAUAAGGUCAAAUGAAAUAAUAAUUUAAUACAAGUGUGUCAGUUUGCACAUAAAAAUUAUUUUUACGUACUUAAUUGCGAACAAGCAAAAGUAAUGCUAGAAAUUAUUAAGAAAUAAAAGAAAUGCAAAUGAAAUAUGCACUGGCUUAUAUAUCUAUUUAGUCUAAUCUCCAAAUCGGCUAUGCGGUCGAACUGGGUAUCCACCAUGAUACUCAGCUCCUCCACAUCCUGGGUCAAGGUGUGGUUAGUGUCCCACAAGUGGCGGCGCUCAUCAUCAAGGGAUAACACCAAGGCGUUGGGAUACGCGUACGUGGCUCUACACUGGCAUCUAGGGUGGCUAUCAGCAGGUGGUAUCAGAGCCUAGGUUAGAAAAGUUAUUUGAAAGACAUAUUAGAUAUGUUAGAAACCCUAAUCCUCUCUAGGAAUAAGAAUUGAGACCAUUAGAUAUACCUUAAGUGAUAUCUGACCCAGUUAGCUAUUUAAGUUCUAACCCUUAAGUAUUGAUUAUUUUGCAGGUAUGGAGAAUGGUAAUGGACAUGUUAAUGGUAGUAGCGCGGCUAAUGGACAUGUAGAGCUGCUGAGAUCCAUUUCCUAUAGGCCUCGAGGUGGAGGAGACCGAGUUUGAUACUCACCUGCUGAUAGGCACCCUAGAUGCCAGUGUAGAGCCACGUAUGCGUAUUCCAACGCCUUGGUGUUAUUCCUUGAUGAUGAGCGCCGCCACUUGUGGGACACUAACCACACCUUGACCCAGGAUGUGGAGGAGCUGAGUAUCAUGAUGGAUACCCAGUUCGACCGCAUAGCCGAUUUGGAGAUUAGGCUAACUGCUGAGCAUAAUAUGCUGGAGGCCGCUCGUUUGGAGAUAGAGCGACAGAGGUUUAGGGUGACCCGACUAGCUGAGGGGAUCCGUGAUAGGAGUGCUGGCAUCAGGGCUGAUGCAGCUAUGCUUAUGGACGAGGCCACUAGUUACCUUCAGGGUAACGAGCAGGCAGGCGCAGAGGAGGAUCCGGCGGAGGACGUCGCCCCUGAUAGCCCUGCUGAGGGUUAGGUUAGGUUGACUUGAUAGUACUAGAUAUGUAGGAUCAGAAAAGGAAUAUUAGUCAAGUUAUCAAAUUUUGUCUAGGUGAAUGACUUGCUUCCGAGGCACCAUAUUCCUAAUUUUUGUUUAAGGGAUUAUCUGUAUAUAUUUUUCCUAACUUAUGUGCCUUAUUUUUGAAAAUGUUCCAACUUGUUAAUUGUAUAACUGUUCCGCAGAAAUAUAUGAUAAGUGUUUCAUUUCCUUUUCCUCCAUUUUCAUGUUGAUUUUAAUCACAUAAAGAAUAUUAAUAAUUGAAUAUAAAUAAAAUUUUGCUUAAUUGUCUUACUCUUCAGUAAUAGGCAUAAUUAGGCAAUGGGUCGUCAAGUAGUAGGAAGGAGCCGUGGGAGACCCACUAGACAACACCCGGAAGCGGGUGGUGAUAGGGAACCCGAGCUCAAUCGAGACCAAGGCAAGAGGGAGUGGCCGGAGAUCGAGUGGCCACCGCAAUUAACCGUAUCACUGACGUCCUAAAGCGUUUGACUGAACACCAACCCUCUGGACCAGUGCACCGCCAAGGAGGCCGAACCGAUUCCGAGGAUCAGGCACUGGAGAGGUUUUUGAAGUUUGGACCUCUUAAGUUCUACGGAGGACCCGAACCUGAGAUAGCUGAGGGAUGGUGGGAGAGAAUCUCCGACAUCUUCGCAGCUUUAAACUACACGGAAGAACGGCAGGUGACUUUCGCCGCAUUCCAGUUUGAGGGAGCUGCUCGCUCAUGGUGGAAUCUGGUUAGGAUUAACUGGGACAGGAAUCAUACUCCAAGAACUUGGGCAAACUUCACAAGAGAGUUCAAUGCCAAAUUCCUUCCACCUCUCAUUCAAGAGAAGAGAGAAGAUUUCAUUAGAUGCAAGCAAGGGGCGAUGAGUGUUGUCGAAUAUGAAGUCCAGUUCACAAAGCUAUCCCGCUUUGCACCUGAGUUGAUAACCACUGAGCAAAGGCGUGUCUGGAGGUUUGUGCAGGGUUUGAAUGUGGAACUACAGGAAGGUUUAGCCGCCGUGAGGAUAGAUACUUUUGCAGAUGCUGUCGAAAGAGCUCAGAGAGUUGAAGUAGCUAGAGCUCAAGUGAAAUCUUUUCAGGCUAAGAAAAGAUUUGCCCCCAACAGUAGUUGAGAGCCGACGUAUGGAAAUGUUCCACCGGCUAAAGUGGGCCGAGGAACAAGCGGAGUGACUAGUCCCGGAGCACCGCGAGGUGCACUAGCAAGAGGAACCGGGGCAAGGAAUGCAGGGGGAAGAAGCAAUGGAACUAGAGGGGGACCGAUUGGGAGAAGGACAACCUAGGAAUAACUCGCAGGGAGGUCGAGCAAUAAUUCCUCAAGUGACCUGUACUUAUUGCAAGAAACCUAGUCAUACUAUGGAUGGCUGCUGGAAGAAGCAAGGAAGGUGCUUGAGAUGCGGAAGUAGCGAGCACUAAAUUUCUGGAUGUCCAAAAAUACAGGAAGGGACUACUUCGAACGCUAGACCAAACACUUCUGGAGGGAGCCGGCCGACAGUUCCUGCCAGAGUGUAUGCUAUAGAUGACCAACCUGUACCUGAUUCCUCGGAAGUCGUGGAAGGUACUCUCCCCAUUUUUCAUCGAUUAGCUAAAGCGUUAAUUGACCCUGGUGCAACUCAUUCAUUCGUAAAUACAUCUUUUAUGUCUGGAAUAGAUGUGAAACCUGUUAGAUUAUCCUUCGAUCUUGAAGUUAGGACACCAAUGGGUAAUAAGAAGAUAAUCGCUAGCUUAGCCUAUAAGAAUUGUGAAUUCUGGAUUGGAGAGCGUAAAAUGCUAGUGGAUCUAAUCAGUUUGGACAUAAAAGGGUACGAUGUUAUCAUAGGAAUGGAUUUCCUACGCCAGUAUCAUGCUAAGCUUGAUUGCCGAGCGAAAGUGGUAGAAUUCUGUAUACCUGGAGAAGCAACCCUGAGGUUAGAUGUUAAGGGUAGGUUAGCAUCAUCUGCUAUGAUCUCAGGGAUACGGGCGAGGAAAAUGUUGUCAAAAGGAGCUCAAGGUUUCUUAGCCUUCUUGAUUAAUGCUCCCAGUGAUCAAGUGAAGUUAGAAGAUGUACUAGUGGUACGGGAAUUUCCGGAUGUUUUUUUCGAAGAGCUAAAGACUCUACCGCCGGAAAGAGAAGUGGAAUUUAAGAUUGACUUGGUGUCUGGAACAGCUCCAAUUUCUAAAACUCCGUACCGAAUGGCUCCUGCCGAGGUAAAGGAGUUGAAAAUUCAACUGCAAGAUCUCUUGGAGAAAGGUUUUGUGAAGGAGAGUGAUUCACCGUGGGAAGCACCCGUUCUAUUUGUUAAGAAAAAGGACGGAAGCUUGAGAUUAUGUAUCGAUUACCGAGGGUUAAAUGAGAUUACAAUUAAGAAUAAAUACCCUUUACCGUUGAUAGAUAGUUUGUUCGACCAACUGCAAGGGUCAGUAGUUUUCUCUAAACUGGACUUGAGGCAAGGGUAUUACCAGUUAAAGAUUAAAAAGGAGGAUAUACCCAAGAUUGCUUUUAGUACGAGAUAUGGACAUUCUGAGUUCGCAAUCAUGCCUUUUGGUUUAACUAAUGCACCAGCGGCAUUCAUGGAUUUAAUGCAGAGAGUCUUUAAGAAGUAUCUGGAUCAGUUUGUAGUGGUUUUCAUCGACGAUAUCUUGAUAUACUCUAAGACUCGAGAGGAACAUGUUAAGCACUUGGAGAUAGUCUUGUAAAUAUUAAGGGAGUAGAAGCUGUAUGCCAAAUUCAGCAAGUGCGAGUUUUGGCUGGAAGAAAUAUCUUUUCUAGGACAUAAAGUUUCCAAGGAGGGAAUUGCCGUGGAUCUGGCAAAAGUUGAGGCCGUUAUGAAUUGGAAGCAGCCGGAAAUUCCAACUGAAGUUAGAAGUUUCUUGGGAUUAGCAGGUUAUUAUAGGCGAUUUAUCAAGGAUUUUUCGAAAAUUGCUGGACCCAUGACCGAGCUAACCAAGAAAGGGAAUAGGUUCAUUUGGACUUCGAAGUGCGAGUCAAGUUUUCAGGAAUUAAAGAAGCGUUUAACAUCCGCUCCUGUUUUGGUGUUACCUGAUGGGAAAAAAGGUUAUGCCGUAUACUUCGAUGCUUCUGGAGAAGGUCUAGGAUGUGUUUUAAUGCAAAAUGGUAAAGUGAUUGCCUACGCUUCCAGGAGACUGAAACCUCACGAACAAAACUACCCAACUCAUGACUUAGAGUUAGCAGCAGUGAUUUUCGCCUUAAAGAAAUGGAGACACUACUUGUAUGGCGUGACUUUUGAGAUUUAUACGGACCAUAAGAGUCUCAAGUAUUUGUUCUCCCAGAAGGAACUAAAUUUGAGACAAAGGCGAUGGGUACAAUUUGUGGAAGAUUAUGACUGUUCAAUUAACUACCACCCAGGAAAAGCUAAUGUGAUAGCUGACGCUCUAAGUAGAAAGGCCCAAGUAGCAGGGUUAAUGGUUAAAGAGUGGGACAUGCUAGAAGAAAUAAGUGGUUGGAACCCUCGCUUGGAGAAACUGAAGAUAUUAUUUGGGAACUUAUCGUUAAAAUCACCAUUACUAGAGCGUAUUAAGGAGGCCCAGAAAAUGGACCCUAUGAUUCAGAAGAAUUUGGAGAAAGUGCAAAAAGGGGAAACCCUAGAUUUUAACUUAGGGUUUGAAGGUGUAUUGAGAUUCCGAAAUCGAAUUGUGAUUCCGGCAGAUGAAAAGAUAAGAAAAGAAAUUUUAGAAGAAUCACAUCGAUCGAAGUAUACCAUACAUCCAGGGGUGACUAAGAUGUAUCAUGAUGUGAAGGGAUUAUACUGGUGGGAAGGUUUGAAAAAGAACGUGGCCGAGUUUGUACAGAGAUGCUUGAUCUGCCAACAAGUAAAAGCUGAGCAUCAGAAGCCCUCUGGUUUAUUGCAACCGUUAGAAAUCCCUGAAUGGAAAUGGGAACAUAUAACAAUGGAUUUUGUAACGGGAUUGCCUAGAAGUCAAAAAGGAUUUGAUGCAAUUUGGGUAAUAGUUGACCGACUCACUAAAUCUGUACAUUUCCUACCCAUAAGCAUGAGUUUUUCUUUGGAAAAACUGGUCAAGUUGUACACAGAAGAGAUCCUAAGAUUACAUGGUAUCCCUGUAAGUAUCGUGUCUGAUCGAGACCCAAGGUUUGUCUCGCGUUUUUGGCAGAAAUUUCAGGAGUCUUUGGGGACCAAGUUGAAAUUUAGUACUGCUUACCAUCCCCAAACCGACGGGCAGGCGGAAAGAACAAUUCAAACUUUGGAGGAUCUGCUGAGAUCGUGUAUAUUGGAUUUUGGAGGUAAAUUGAGUAAUUAUAUGACCUUAAUAGAAUUUGCGUAUAACAACAGUUAUCAAACCUCAAUUCAAAUGGCACCUUAUGAAGCUUUGUAUGGGAGAAGGUGUCGAUCUCCGAUUAAUUGGGAUGAAAUAGGAGAGAAGAAGAUUGUAGAUCCAACAGCGAUACCUUGGAUAGAAGAAACCCAGGAGAAAGUGAAACUAAUUAGAGAAAGGCUUCAAACCGCUCAGAGUAGACAAAAGAGCGACGCCGACACAAGGAGGAAAGAUUUGGAAUUCGAAGUAGGAGACAAGGUCUUCCUAAGAAUUAAAUCCUUGAAGGGCGGAGUAGUGUCUAAGAAAGGUAAGAAGCUAAAGCCAAGGUAUAUCGGACCUUUCGAAAUUUUGAAGCGAGUUGGGAAUGUAGCAUAUCAGCUGAAGUUACCCGCAAGCAUGGCUAAGGUUCACGAUGUAUUUCACGUUUUCAUGCUUAAGAAAUAUUAUUCCGACCCAAGUCAUGUGCUGCCACUGGAGGGAAUUGAAGUGGAUGAGACGUUAACGUAUGAAGAAGGACUGGUCAAGAUUUUGGAAAGAAAAGUGAAGGAGCUGAGGAAUAAGAAAAUUCCUUUGGUAAAGAUUGUAUGGAGAAAUCAUGGACUUGAGGAAGCAACUUGGGAAUUGGAGGAGGAAAUGCAGAAAAAGUACCCUGAUUUAUUUCCUUAGAAUGUGUGAAUUUUGAGGACAAAAUUCUUUGUAAGGAGGGGAGGAUGUGAGAACCCUGAAAAUAGAUAUAUAAGCCAGUGCAUAUUUCAUUUGCAUUUCUUUUAUUCCUUAAUAAUUUCUAGCAUUACUUUUACUUGUUCGCAAUUAAGUACGUAAAAAUAAUUUUUAUGUGCAAACUGACACACUUGUAUUAAAUUAUUAUUUCAUUUGACCUUAUAUUAUUAAAUUGAUAAAUUUCGAGUUAGACUAACUCUAUCUCUUGAGAAUAAAUAAUUGGAAAUUCUGAUAACUAAUUUAAUCGCUAAAUAAUGUUAGGAAUUACUAGGAACCUUAAUAUUAAAUUUUUAAUCGAUAAAUAUUCGAUAAAAAAAAUAGUUUAAGUAUACUAGUGUAUAAUUAGGCGUUCAAAUCACACUUGGGGAUAAUUUUUGGUUUUAAGAUUAGAAUGGAGAAUUUAAGUAGAGGUUAGGAAGCAAAGUGAAAAGACUAAAAUGCCUUACAACCACAACAUUUUCAUGUAAAACCAAACAAUCCCUCUGACAGCAUCUCAAUCACCGCCCCAAUCGGCCAAUCACAUUUUCACCAAUUCUAUACGCAACCAUUUCCUACACUAAAACCCUUCUCCAAAAUCGCGGCACCAUAUCUUUACUUCUUCGUUCCUAUAUCACAAACCACCAUUCCAUUUCCUCUGCACAAAAUUUUCUCAGACCACAACACUUCCUCUCCACAACCACAUUUCCUCUUUGUCUCGUUAUCAUCGACAAAGAGGAACUGAGGGAAGAAGCCGUGAGCUGCAAAAUUUUCUGGUUCUGCCGUGAGUUGGAGCGAAACCAGGGAGAAAAUCGUGAGUGAGUUUCACCAUUCUGCACCUCCAUCUCCACCAGCUGCAACCAGCUCUCAGCCGCAACCACUGCAACCGCAACCAACCCUCCAAGCCGUGCGUGAGAGCCGAGAGGAAGAAAGAAAUUCCAGACUUCUUGUGCGUAGGCUUGGCUUGUAUCUGAGGUAAUUGCUGGGCUAAAUUAGGUUAAUUACUAAUAGAUAAAAACAUAUCAGAGCCUGCAUGUGUUGCUUGUGCAAUCGGUUGAUGAAUUCAAGACACUAGAAAAUUCUGUUUUGAUGAAAAUGUUUUUGCCGAGGAACUGGUUUGGAAAUGUAACUUUAUUUUUGCUUCCCUGUGACAAUCUGAACUUAAAGAUGUGUCUCCCUAACUUAAGACAAGAUGAAUAAGUUAGUUCCAGCUUUGCAUGUUGAUUUUAAACCAUCGGAUGAGACAUUAGAAAAAGAAAAAUCUAACUGGAUGGCUAAAUGGUUCGGCCGAGAGAUUAGCAAGGUAAUGCAGUUUCUAAUCUGUCCAAUUUUGAUAACCUGAGGUUGAGAUCAUGAUUAGUUAACUAAAAAGUGAAAGAUUAAGUUGAUAUGAGUGUUGCAUGUGGAAUCUAGACUCGGAUGAUGAUGUUAAGGCAUAAGAAAAUUCUGUUUUGAAAAGAAAAUGGUUGACCGAGAAUUGAUUAAGAAUUUCAUGAUGUAAUCUGCUUUGUUGUGAUGAUCAAAACCUGAGAUUAUGAUUAGUUAACUUAAACUUGGAUGAUUAAUACAAUUAAGGCUUUGCAUGUUGAAUUUGAGUUCCUAAAAUGCUGAUUUAACCAAGGAAAAAGCUAGAUUAAGAACAUACAAUUUCUGGAAAAUUUUUUUUGUGAACUACCGUGAGUUAAACUUGGAAAUUUUGAGGAUUAUAACAGUUGUUUGAACUUAAUUUCGAGCUGGAAAUGUUAAUCGGUUAACUAAGUGUUUACAAGUCAAAUUUGAGUAAGUAAUACUAUGUUUUAAUCAAGAAAAUAAAAUAAAAACAGAAAGUUUCUUCAUACAUGUUCAUCCGUGACUAGCUGGACAGAUUUCUGAAUUUUUGGGAUGUUUGAAGCUGUUAUUCGAAUUCGAUUUUGAACCAGAAAUGUUAAUUAGCUAGCCAAAGGUUCACAUGACGAAUUUGAGAAUCUAAAAUCAUGUUUUAGCCAAGGAAAAGUUGGAUUUAUAAAACCCUAAGUGCUGGAAAGGUAUUGAUGGCCGAGGGUUAUGAACCAGAAUUUUCAGUUUGUCUUUGAAAAUUUUAAUUGGUUUCUGGAAUUUUAUUUUAUUUUAUUUUUUUCCCGUUGGAAUAUAAUGGUUUAGAAAUACAUAGGAGAUGUAAAUUUUAAGUUGUGUAAGUUGUUUAGCAAUAAAAUAUUGGAUAUAUUGAAAGAUUGAACAAAAAAUGUUGGCAUAUAAAUGCUGGAAUUUCUUUUGUGAUAGCUGAAGGUUGAGUUGGAAUCUCAGCUUGGUUUUGAAAUUUUUCUUUGAAACAUAAUGGUUGGAAAUGCCUGAAAUAUGUUGUUUUAGAGUUCUAUAAGAAAUGUAUGGAUGGUUUGAAUAAAAAUCUUAUGGUGUUAAAUGAGAAAAAGGAGUUUUUCACAAGUGAAAAAUGAGUCUUCAGAUUUUCGGAUUUCACUGACCAGUCUCAGUAAAAUACUUAUAUCUUGGUGUAGGAAAAUCCGUUUAAGGUGCCGUCAGUGGCAUUUGAAACUAGAAUCAUGGGCCUUUGUUCUGUAGAAAUUUCAUAUUUUUCCUCCAUGUGUACUGCUGUCCGUGACUCCUCAAAGUAGGCUGUCCUGCUUAAAUGUCCUGUUUCUUCAUGAAACUGAAUUUUGACUUGAAUCGAACAUUUAGCUUAAUUGUGAUUUGAAUUCCUGAUUGAAUUAUGGUUGGAAGUGAUUGAUGGUUGUCAAGGGCUAAUGAUUGAUGAAGCCCUUGGCCAUUUGAAUGAUUUUAUAAAUAUUAAAGGAUGAUGAACUUUAAUUGCUGGAAUUUCUUGGAGGCGUUACCUUCAUUUUGUUUUAGUUAAGAUGUGAUAUGAGAUUGCCAAAAUCAAGUGCUAAUGAUUGACGAAACCUUGGUCAUUCGUUUUAUUCUUGAUCAGAAUUGAAUCUGUUGAAACCUAGGGCUAAUGAUUGACGAAACUCUAGUGAAAUUUCUAUUUGAAAUGUGAGUUGGUCAUAUUGACAAAUAUGAAAUAUUAUGUGCUUGUAAAUCGGAAUCGUAAGGAAUUUAUUUUGGUCCUGUGAACUUGAGAAGUUUUUAAGCAAGCUAUUUAAAUAUAUCUUCACUCUAAUAUGGUACGAUAGAACUUAGCACUGAAGGUUAAAGUUAGAAAUUUCGUGUAGGAAUUUUCUAAACCUUGCCAACUCGAAAUUUUCCUUCAACUCGAACUAACCUUAAUAGUUAUAGAAAAUAAUUUCUCUAACUUUUGAAAACCCUAAGUCUUAUUUUAAUUUCUUUUCUUUCUUUAAAAUUUGCCCUUGGAUAGUUGUCGGUAGGAAAGGUUCCAAAAUAAGAAUUUUAAUAACUUUAAUUAAAAAUGAAAAAACUUGCUCGACAAGAAACUUUAUUUUAGGUAAAAUAGUUUUAGUGAUAAUUUUUGCAAGAACCGUAGCUUUAAAGAAAUUUUCAAGAUAUCUUUCUAACUUUGAUGUUAAGAGGUUUGUCGACUUAUUUCAAGAAAAUAAUACUAGUUACCCUUUUAUAAGGAAAAAUAUCUCAAGGAAAACUAUAAGAAAUAUUUCUACUACUUUUGUCAAGUUUCAACCUAAGUAGAUUCUUGAAUUUACUAUGAGAAAGUAAACUAGUAAUAUAUUAGAUAAAUCUUGAUGUGUAUAAGCUUAAAAACUGAAUAGAAACUUAUAGUUUCAAAAUUUGGUAUUCUAGGAUAUUGCGAGGACGCGGAAUUCGAUUCCCAAUUUGACAUCUGAACUUCACUCUUGGUGAGUGUCCCUGCUUGUUCUAUGCUUACUUGGUUAAAGUGCUUUCUUGACUCAAUAUGUGAUAAUUUGCAAACUAGUUUUUGAUUCAUCGAAGUGAGCAGUGUGUACUUUAUCGCACUAGCCGUUCGAGUGGUGACUUGCGUGAAUCAUUUUCUCAUGAAUCUAAACGCAGUAACGUCGUUGGGUGAAUCUCUCGACGUAUGAAUCUGACUGCAAUCACGUUGUUGGGUGAAUCACUCGACGCAUGAAUCUAACUACAAUAACGUCGUUGGGUGAAUCUCUCGACCAAUCAUCUACGGGUAUAUCUCGAGUAUACUGCGUCCUUAGUCGGUGUUCGGGCCCGGGACAGGGGUAUGAACGGUGACGGGUUAGGAGUAAAAAUGAGUGGAUCUACAUGGACUAUAAGUAGUGAGAGUUGACGGAGGGUCAACUACGAUGAAUGGUGAUUAAGCGAGGAAAAUGGCUCCUGAGAACCCCUGUAUCCUACCUUGUGCUGUUAUACGCUUUCCUAACUGUUCAAUUUGGUUAAGUUAUUACUCGCUGUUUGAUUUACAUGAUUGCAUGUUUUGGGGCACUACUGAGCGUUAGCUCACCCCACGUUUAUUUGUUUUCCUUAACAGGCUCUGGAAGUUGAAAGCUUUGAAACUUACUCAUGUUUUCCUUUUGGAAUGUAUUUGAAUACUAAGACUUACUCAUGGAGUCGCCACAUAGUAUACUAUAAUUUUACUAAUUCAACUCAACUUCUCAUUUUUAUCUAAUUUCACAAACAAGCAACUCCUAUAGUCAAUAAAGAUGCUAACUAAUCUCAUGAUCAACUUCUUAUUUUUCUUAAAAGGGCUUUAUUUUCUUUUUCUUCUUCUUUUUUUUUAUAUGUCUUUUAAGAGUUAAAUACUACUUAAGUUGUGAAAAAAUGCCUUUUGACGCAAAAAUUGAUAUUUUUAGAUGAAGAUCACCAGUUACUCAACAUUUCACAUACUCAAGUUACUGUUCAUACUUCUAAUUCAAGUACCGUUUUACGCGAGAGUCGACAUUUGUAGAUGAAAACUCCCGAUUACUAAGUACAAGAACCAUUGGAGUAGAAUAUUUUUUUUGAUAUAUAUAUAAAGAAAUAAUAAAAUUCCUUCUAAGAAUAAUCAUGAGAAAAGCAUGACACUUAUUGACCAUAUUAAUUUCUUAACUUAUAAAAUCAGAUAAAAAGAAGAAUUUUCAUCAAAUAUGCAAAAUGUAAGCAUAAUUUUCUUCACUUACUAGAUAUACUUUCCUAUAGAUGUAAAAAUUAUAAUUACAUAAUAGUCAUUUCCAAAUGAAAUUAGAAAAGAAGUUUCAAAAUCGCAUAUAUUUAUUUCAAAAGGAUAAGUGAUAAAAUUUUAUUUAUUUAUUAGGAUUAUUGUAUAUAUAUGUAUAAGGUUUUGAAAAAAUUUUGACAGAGUUUCCCCUUAAAAGUGGACUAAACUCCCUGCCAGCAACCACAAGAGACAAAUUUGAAGCACAAGAAAAUAACCAACAUCAAACACAACUAAAAUCACAAGUACCACACAUAUUUCUUUCCUAUACUUAAAAUACACAUAGUCCUCAAUGUGUAGGGAAGGAAAGAAAAGAAAAGAAAAGAAAGAAAUACUUCCCAAGGCAAUGGCUGAGAUCCUUAUCAGCCAUUAAUCACGAACCAUUGUCAAAAUACAAGUACCUACCAAAUAAAAAAAUAAAAUGAAGUUAAACAACUUAAGUUCCACAAGUUAAGAUAAUCAGGCAAGCAAAUCCAGCAACAAAAGAUAGCAUAUGCAGUGUGCCAAGUCAGUCAUCUCUCUCGGUAUCAUCGUCAUCCUCUGCAUCACGAGGGCGGUGGAUGAAUGCCCAAAUGAUCUUCAAUUCGGCUUAGACGAUUCCUAAUGUCAGCAAACUGGUAUGCAAAGUCGUCCAUAUGGUCAAAAAGUCACUGCCAAUUAGUUUGUGACGGAGGAGGUGGUGGUGCUGCAGUAGAUGGCCCAGCUUCAUCGCGAUCAUGUCUAGCCUUCUGUCUCCGCUCUUGAAUAGAGCGUGGAACAUCCCCCGUGCCAAUACCAAGCCGGUGGAGAGUAGUGAUAAAUAAUUUAGUUCUGGGUGGAAUAUACUCCCGCCGUAUGCCUUCCAAGCGAAGCUUAAAAUGCGGGAAGAUCAAGGUAAGUAGACGAGGAAAUGAUAAUUUGAAAUAAGUUGUUUUGCGCCUCGUCGUGGACCGAAUGUGGCUAAUGAUGAUGUUAGGUAGUGAAAUGCGAGCAUAUGGAGAUGUCCAAUUUUGGAAUAUGUAAUCCAAGUAGAUAUCACUCAUGCGAACCUCCGUGUGCCCUGUCUUCUUAGAAAUUACAUUGUGAGCCAUCAUAUAGAUGAUAAGACAAUGACGAGGUUCAAAGACAUUUGCCACUAUGGUCUCCUUCCUUGUAGAGCGAAAAGGUUGGUACUCGAGACCAAACCUAGCCAUGGCCAACGAGGGAUCCCACUUCCUAUUCGGGGGAAUAAACUCUUUCUUCAAAUCUAUUGGACGCCCGUCAUCCAUACACCCCAAAAUAGCGGUUAAAUCUUGACGUGACAAGACGAUUCGUCUUUCACGCAUUCAGGAUUCAACCAUUUCUCCACUAUGGCGCGCCUUACUCUCAAUGUUGACGUAAAAUUCUCGCACCAAGUCGGGGUAGUAAUGAUUUGGUAGGGUAUGUAUCGGCUCGAUCUCACGAGAAUCAAAUUAAACAAGUACUAGGCCUUUAUUUUUCUCUAUUAUUUAGACUUACAAUAAAUUUGAGUAAGAAAAUUAUUAUGUUGUUAUUGUCUACAAAUCUGGUUUAAUCAAUGUUAAAUGUAAAUGGAGAAAUUUCACUAAAGAUUGAAUUUAGGGAUGUAAAUUCCACUUAUGGCGUAAAUAACACAAAUGAAUAGAUUUGUCUCUUGUUAUUUUUUUUGUUUAAUCAGGGAUUCAUUUCCAAUAUUACCAAAUCUCAUUCUCAUGAUGAAAUGGCCUAGAGUAAUAUAGUUUUCCCUAUUUUCAUGGUGAAAUACUAGUUUUACUCUAUUUUUCUUCAUGAAAUGCUGGAAAAUCCACUUAAGUGUACAUCUAUUUUCAUGAACAUACAACUCAAACUCAUGUUUUUUCAUUGUUACUAUCAAUUCUCAUUGACUAAUAACAACUAUGAAUAUGUUAUUGGUGAUCAAACAACAACAAGUAAUUACAACUGCACAAAUAGACAAGUUAAUACAAGAUAUAACAAGUGUAAAUUACAUUCAAUUCAUAUUAUUUAGUCAUAAGUUUCAUCUACUCCCUAAAUAAAAAAAAUUAGCUACUCAUGAAUGAAAUAAAAAUCAAACUCAUAAGUUUAUUAAUGCAAAAUAUCAUAAAAUACAAUUACAAGAAAAAUAUAAGAAAGCUUAGCCAAUUAAUGGUGAAACCCUCAAAUUUCUGCUAUGUUCUUGUACAAGAUGAUUACAAGAUAAGUUUUCAAUUACUUCCUUAAGAACUUCUAGCUAGAGAGAAAAUGUUACCAGAUGAAAAACUCCCUACGUAUGGUGUCCAGACCUCUCCCAAUGUCUCUGUAUAAGAACUGCUCAAGAGCUCCAUUUUUCCAAGUCAAAUUUCACAUUUUGAUUCCCAAAUCUCAACUUUGUUAGGAUAGUUAAUAACCAAUGUUUUUUACUUGAAAAUAAGCUACAUUUCUUGCCCUUUUGUCUUCUGAAGCAUGUGCACAGAAUUUCCUUGCAACUUAUGGCUGGAAAGUAGUAUGAAUACAAGAGAAAUGGCUGAGUAAAUUGCAGCUUUUCGGCUACAAAACGCGACUGCACAAAAUGCAGCAUAAACUCGCGUUUUGUCAACUCGCGUUUUCAACUUGGCCUUGCUUCAACUGCGAUUUUUUCUAUGAUGAAGGUCGAACUAGCUUUUGUACAAAACACAAAAGUUGUAGCCUUUUAAAUUAGCUUUACAAUGCUUCAAGAAUAAUCUAAAUCGGAGUUUUGUAGCCUGAGAUAUGGUUGAAAUACUAUCAUCUUGUCAAAUCCCUAUUUCAAUUUUCGACCACAGAAUGCAGCUUCUGUAUUUCGACUUUUUGUCCAUGAAAACAGCAGAAUUGGAUUUCGAUGUCUUCAUAACAAUUGUAGGUCUCUUUCUUAGUUUUAAAAUGGUAUAAAGAUCACCUCAAUCGGAUAAGUGUAGCUCCAGAUAUGGUCAAAAUACCGAAAAGUUUCAAAACUGUCUUGAAUUGCAUUUCCUCACUUUGAAUGUUUUUCAUUUCAUUUCUCUUUUAACCACUUGAAUUCAUCACCAAUUAUCUAUUUUCACCUCACUUGACAUCCUUUGGUGAUUGAAUCAUUAAACCUGCAUAAAAAUGAAGUUUUUAUCACUAAAAUUAAUAGAAAUGCAAUAAUAGCCACUUUUACCAAACAAUGUAUAUUUUUACCAAAACCUAUUUAUUUUAUUUAUAAGACUAAAUAAUCAAACCAAAAUCAACUAAUAAAAUGCACUUAAAAAUACGUAAAAUAAACUCUUAUCAAAUACCCCCACACUUGAAUCAUUACUUGUUCUGAAGCAAUUAAAAACACUAACCAACAAUGAUUCCAAGUUUGAAAAUAAACAUACGUUGCAUUUCAACUUCAUUUCCUUGAAUCAAGAUAAAUAACGCUUAUGUGAUCCCUCAAUUAAUUUCAAGUACUCGUAGUAUCAAACAAAAAAGAGUCAAGUAUACCAUAAUUUUACUAAUUCAACUCAACAUCUUAUUUUUAUCCAAUUUCACAAGCAAGCAACUCCUAUAGUCGAUAAAGAUACUAACUAAUCUCAUGAUCAACUUUUUAUUUUUCUUAAAGAGGGCUUUAUUUUCUUUUUUUUUUCUUUUUCUUCUUCUCUUUUUUUUAUAUAUAUCUUUUAAGAGUUAAAUACUACUUAAGUUGUGAAAAAAAUGCCUUUUGAUGUAAAGAUUGACAUUUUUAGAUGAAGAUCAUCAGUUACUCAACAUUUUAUAUACUCAAGUUGCUGUUCAUACUUUUAAUUCAAGUACCGUUUUACGCGAGAGUCGACAUUUGUAGAUGAAAACUCUUGGUUACUAAGUACAAGAACCAUUGGAGUAGAAUAUUAUAUAUAUAUAUAUAUAAAGAAAUAAUAAAAUUCCCUUUAAGAAUAAUCAUGAGAAAAGUAUGACACUUAUUGACCAUAUUAAUUUCUUAACUUAUAAAAUCAGAUAAAAAGAAGAAUUUUCAUCAAAUAUGCAAAAUGUAGGCAUAAUUUUCUCCACUUACUAGAUAUACUUUCCAAUAGAUGUAAAAAUUAUAAUAACAUAAUAGUCAUUUCCAAAUUAAAUGAAAAAAAAAGUUUCAAAACCACAUAUAUUUAUUUCAAAAGGAUAAGUGACAAAAUUUUAUUUAUUUUUUAGGAUUAUUAUAUAUAUAUAUGUAUAUGUAUAAGAUUUUGGAAAAAUUUUGACAGAGUUUUCCUUAAAAGUGGACUAAAAUCCCUGCCAGCAACCACAAGAAACAAAUUUGAAGCACAAGAAAUAUAACCAACAUCAAAUACAACUAAAACCACAAGUAUCACAUAUAUUUCUCCCCUACACUUAAAAUAUACAUUGUCCUCAAUGUGUAGGGAAGGAAAGAAAAGAAAAGAAAAGAAAGAAAUACUUUCCAAGGCAAUGACUGAGAUCCUUAUCAGCCAUUAAUCAUGAAUCACUACCAAAAUACAAGUACCUACCAAAUAGAAAACAGAAAAAUAAAAUGAAGUUAAACAACUUAAGUUGCACAAGUUAAGACAAUCAGGCAAGCAAAUCCAGCAACAAAAGAUAGCAUCUGCAGUGCGCCAAGUCAGUCAUCUCCCUCGGCAUCAUCGUCAUCCUCUGCAUCACGAGGGCGGUGGAUGAAUGCCCAAAUGAUCUUCAGUUCGGCUUAGACGAUUCCUAAUGUCUGCAAACUGGUAUGCAAAGUCGUCCAUAUGGUUAAAAAGUCACUGCCAAUUAGUUUGUGACGGAGGAGGUGGUGGUGCUGCAGUAGAUGGCCCAUCUUCAUCGCGACCAUGUCUAGCCUUCUGUCUCCGCUAUUGAACAGAGCGUGGAACAUCCCCCGUGCCAAUACCAAGCCGGUGGAGAGUAGUGAUACAUAAUUUAGCUCUGGGUGGAACAUACUCCCACCGUAUGCCUUCCAAGCGAAGCUUAAAACGCGGGAAGAUCAAGGUAAGUAGACGAGGAAAUGAUAAUUUGAAAGAAUUUGUCUUACGCCUCGUCGUGGACCGAAUGUGGCUAAUGAUGAUGUUAGGCAGUGAAAUGCGAGCAUGUGGAGAUGUCCGAUUAUGGAACAUGUAAUCCAAGAAGUAGAUAUCACUCUUGCGAACCUCCGUGUGCCCUGUCUUCUUAGAAAUUAUAUUGUGAGCCAUCAUAUAGAUGAUAAGACGAUGACGAGGUUCAAAGACAUUUGCCACUAUGGUCUCCUUCCUUGUAGAGCGAAAAAGUUGGUACUCGAGACCAAACCUAGCCAUGGCCAACGAGGGAUCUCACUUCCUAUUUGGGGGAAUAAACUUUUUCUUCAAAUCUACUGGACGCCCGUCAUCUAUACAUCCCAAAAUAGCGGUUAAAUCUUGACGUGACAAGACGAUUCGUCUUCCACGCAUUCAGGAUUCAACCAUUUCUCCACUAUGGCGCGCCUUACUUUCAAUGUUGACGUAAAAUUCUCGCACCAAGUCGGGGUAGUAAUGGUUUCAUAGGGUGAAAAUCGAAGCCCAUCCAAGCUGAGUAAAAGCUUCCGAGAUGUUGUAUAUCAUCUCAACUGGUGGACUCACGUGCAUCUCAAACAAAAACUCCAAAUUAGCAUGCUCCUCAUGCCAUUCUUGAUUCCUGUGAUUGUUGAACCUAGCACUGUCAAAUACCGAUUUUCCCGAUGCACGAGAGGUGCCCUCACCAGGUUGUCGGCUAACUGGUGGAGGAGAAGGUGACGCUUCCUCCUCAGUCACAUCCAUUUCUUCAUUCACCUCUCUCUCAUCAUUACUAGAGGAUGAAGGUAUCACUCUUCUUCCCCUUGGCAUAGUACUUAAAAAAAAUUUUCAAUUAAUCACAUGUAUUACAACUCAUAAUUUGUCAACAAAAAUCUAGAAUUAAUCUCAAAUACAUUUCCUCAAGUUAUAAUCAUUCAAUGAUCAUACAAAAAUAGACAUAUUUUCUGCUUAAAAUUGUCCAAAAUCACCAACUUAAACAAGAUAUGUAUCAAUUAUAAUUCAAUCAAUGAAAAUAGCAUCAAUCAUGAUUAUAGCAAUAUUUAAUUAAUAAUAAUAAUGUGCAAUUAGCUAUAACCAUGAUUAGGCAAAAAUUAAACUAAUUAACUCACAAAAUCAACCAAAUUACUCACUAUACACAAUGCACAUGCUAAAACAUCAUCAACUAACCAUUAUUAACCAUAAUCAUUGAUAACCAAUGGCUUAAAAACAUUUUAAUCCAACUUCCUAAUUUUAGUUCAAAUAUAGCAAUUAAAAAAAAUAAAAACUAUUAAUAAUCAAGUAGCUAUAUUUGAACAUGUAAUCAUGUAUAAAUAACCUUAAUAAGCAUCAAUGAAGUCAAAAACAUCAUCAUUUAUCAUCAAAAAUUCGAGAUUAUAGGAAAUGCAAUUCAAGACAGUUUUGACACUUUUCGGUAUUUCGAUUAUAUCUGGAGCUACACUUUUCGGAUUGAGAUGAUCUUCAUAUCAUUUUACAGUUAAGAAAGAGACCUACAAUUGUUAUGAAGACAUAGAAAUCCAAUUCUGCUGUUUUCAUGGACAAAAAGUCGGAAUAUAGAAGCUUCAUUCUGUGGUCGAAAAUCGAAAUAGGGGUUUGAUCAGGUGAUAGCAUUUCGACCAUAUCUCAGGCUAUCAAACUCCGAUUUGGAUGAUUCUUGAAGCAUUGUAAAGCUAACUCAAAGGGCUACAACUUUUGUGUUUUGCUCAAAAGCUAGUUCGGCUUUCAUCAUAGAAAAAGUUGACAAAACGUGAGUUUAUGCCGCGUUUUGUAGCGGAAAAGCUGCAAUUUGCUCAGCUAUUUCUCUUGUAUUCAUACUACUUUCCAGCUAUAAGUUGCAAGGAAAUUCGGUGCACAUGCUUCAGAAGACAAAAGGGCAAGAAAUGUGGCUUAUUUUCAAAUAAAAAACAUUGGUUAUUGACUAUCCUAACAAAGUUGAGAUUUGAGAAUCAAAAGGUGAAAUUUGACUUGGAAAAAUGGAGAUCUUGAGCAGUUUUUAUGCAGAGACAUUGGGAGAGGUCUGUACACCAUACAUAGGGAGUUUUUCAUCUGGUAACAUUUUCUCUCUAGCUAGAAGUUCUUGAGGAAGCAAUUGGAGACUCAUCUUGUACAAGAACAUAGCAGAAAUUUGAGGGAUUCACCAUUAAUUGGCUAAACUUUCUCUAAUCUUUCUUGUAAUUGUACUUUAUGAUGUUUUGCAUUAAUAAACUUGUGAGUUUGAAUUUUAUUUCAUUCAUGUGUAGCUAAUUUUCUUUAUCUAGGGAGUAGAUGAAAUUUAUGCCUAAAUAAUAUGAAUUGAAUGUGAUUUAGACUUGUUAUAUCUUUAUUAACUUGUCUAUUUGUGCAGUUGUAAUUACUCGUCGUUGUUUGAUCACCAAUAACAUGUUCAUAAUUGUUAUUAGUCAAUGAGAAUUGAUGGUAACAAUGGUAAAACAUGAGUAGAGUUUGAGUUGUAUGUUUAUGAAAAUAGAUAUACAUUUAAGUGGAUUUUUCAACAUUCCAUGAAGGAAAACAGGGUAGAACUAGUAUUUCAUCAUAAAAAUAGGGAAAACUAUAUUGCUCUAAACCAUUUCAUCAUGAGAAUGAGAUUUGGUAAUAUUGGAAAUGAAUCCCUGGUUAAACAAGAAAAAUAACAAGAGGUAAAUCUAUUCAUUUGUGUUGUUUAUGCCAUAAGUGGAAUCUACAUCCCUAAAUUCAAUCUUUAGUGAAAUUUCUCCAUUUGCAUUUAACAUUGAUUAAACCAGAUUCGUAGACAAUAGCAGCAUUAUAAUUUUCUUGCUCAGAUUUAUUGUAAAUCUAAAUAAUAGAGAAAAAUAAGGGCCUAGUACUUGUUUAAUUUGCUUCUCGUGGGAUCGACCCGAUACAUACCCUACAUUACGAUUUUGGCCCGUACACUUGCAGUCAACGGGUAUAAAAUUGGAUUUAAACUUGCAUUGAUAUAAAAAUUCCGUCAAGUUUUUUGGCGCCGUUAUAGAGGAUGACGAUGAUGCUGAGGGGGAUGAUUGACUUGGCGCACUGCAGAUGCUAUCUUUUGUUGCUGGAUUUGCUUGCCUGAUUGUCUUAACUUGUGGAAAUUAAGUUGUUUAAGUUCAUUUUAUUUUUCUGUUUUGUAUUUGGUAGGUACUUGUAUUUUGGCAGUGAUUCGUGAUUAAUGGCUGAUAAAGAUCUCAACCAUUGUUUUAGGAAGUAUUUCUUUCUUUUCUUUUGUUUUCUUUCCUUCUCUACACAUUGACGACAAUGUGUAUUUUAAGUGUAGGGGAGAAAUAUGUGUGGUAGUUGUGAUUUUCGUUGUGUUUGAUGUUGGUUAUAUUUCUUGUGUUUCAAAUUUAUUUCUUGUGGUUGCUGGCAGGAUUUUAGUCCACUUUUAAGGGAGAUUCUGUCAAAAUUUUUUCAAGACCUUAUACAUGUAUAUAUAAUAAUUCUAAUAAAUAAAUAAAAUUUUGUCACUUAUCCUUUUGAAAUAAAUAUAUGUGGUUUUGAAACUUCUUUUCUCAUUUAAUUUGGAAAUGACUAUUAUGUAAUUAUAAUUUUUACAUCUAUAGGAAAGUAUAUCUGGUAAGUGGAGAAAAUUAUGCCUACAUUUUGCAUAUUCGAUGAAAAUUCUUCUUUUUAUCUGAUUUUAUAAGUUGAGAAAUUAAUAUGGUCAAAAGUGUCAUACUUUUCUCAUGAUUAUUCUUAGAGGAAAUUUUAUUAUUUCUUUAUGUAUAUAUCAAAAAAAAAUAUUCUACUCCAAUGGUUCUUGUACUUAGUAAUCGGGAGUCUUCAUCUGCAAAUGUCGACUCUCGCGUAAAACGAUUCUUAAAUUAAAAGUAUGAACAGCAACUUGAGUAUGUGAAAUGUUGAGUAAUCGGUGAUUUUCAUCUAAAAAUAUCGAUUUUCGCGUCAAAAGGCAUUUUUUUUCACAACUUAAGUAGUAUUUAACUCUUAAAAGACAUAUAUAAAAGAAAAAGAGAAGAAGAAAAAGAAAAAAAAAGAGAAAAUAAAGCCCUCUUUAAGAAAAAUAAGAAGUUGAUCAUGAGAUUAGUUAGCAUCUUUAUUGACUAUAGGAGUUGCUUGGCUGUGAAAUUAGAUAAAAAUGAGAAGUUGAGUUGAAUUAGUAAAAUUAUGGUAUACUUGGGUAUUCUUUGUUUGAUACUAUGAGUACUUGAAGCUAAUUGAAAGAUCAUAUAAGGGUUAUUUACCUUGAUUCAAGGAAAUGAAGUUGAAAUAUUAUGUAUGUUUAUUUUCAAUCUUGGAAUCAUUGUUGGUUAGUGUUUUUAAUUGCUUGAGGAUAAGCAAUCAUUCAAUUGUGGGGGUAUUUGAUAAGAGUUUAUUUUACGUAUUUUUAAGCGCAUUUUAUUAGUUGAUUUUGGUUUUAUUAUUUAGUUUAUAACUUAAAUAAAUAGGUUUUGGUAAAAAUAUACAUUGUUUGGUAAAAGUGGCCAUUAUUACAUUUCUAUUGAUUUUAGUGAUAAAAACUUCAUUUUUAUGCAGGUUUAGUGAUUCAAUCACCAAAGGAUGUCAAGUGAGGUGAAAAAUAGAUAAUUGGUUAUGAAUUCAAGUGGUUAAAAGAGAAAUGAAGUGAAAAACGUUUAAAGUGAGGAAAUGAAAUUCAAGACAGUUUUGACACUUUUCGGUAUUUCGACUAUAUCUGGAGCUACACUUAUCGGAUUGAGGUGAUCUUUAUACCAUUUUAAAGCUAAGAAAGAUACUACAAUUGUUAUGAAGAUAUCGAAAUCGAAUUCUGCUGUUUUCAUGGAAAAAAAAAGUUGGAAUACAGAAGCUACAAUCUGUGGUCGAAAAUCGAAACAGGGAUUUGACCAACUGAUAGUAUUUUGACCAUAUCUCAGGCUACAAAACUCCGAUUUGGGUUAUUCUUGAAACAUUGUAAAGCUAAAUCAAAGGGUUACAACUUUUGUAUUUUGCGCAAAAGUUAGUUCGACCUUCAUCAUAGAGAAAAUCGCAGUUGAACCAAGGCCAAGUUGAAAACGCGAGUUUAUGCCACGUUUUUUGUAGUCGCGUUUUGUAGCCAAAAAGCUGCAAUUUGCUCAGUCAUUUCUCUUGUAUUUAUACUACUUUCCAACCAUAAGUUGCAAGGGAAUUCGAUCCACAUGCUUCGGAAGACAAAAGGGUAACAACGGUGGCUUAUUUUCAAGUAAAAAACAUUGGUUAUUGACAAUACUAACAAAGUUGAGAUUUGGAAAUCAAAAGGUGGAAUUUGACUUGAAAAAAUGGAACUCUUGAGCAGUUUUUAUACAGAGACAUUGGCAGAGGUCUGGACACUCUACAUAGGGAGUUUUUCAUUUGGUAAUGUUUUCUCUCUAGCUAGAAAUUCUUGAGGAAGCAAUUGGAGACUUAUCUUGUAAUUAUCUUGUACAAGAACAUAGCAGAAAUUUGAGAGCUUCACCAUUAAUUGACUAAGCUUUCUUUUAUCUUUCUUGUAAUUGUACUUUAUGAUGUUUUGCAUUAAUAAACUUGUGAAUUUGAUUUUCAUUUCAUUCAUGAGUAGUUAAUUUUCUUUAUUUAGGGAGUAGAUGAAACUUAUGGCUAAAUAAUAUGAAUUGAAUGUGAUUUACACUUGUUAUAUCUUGUAUUAACUUGUUUAUUUGUGUGGUUGUAAUUACUUGUCGUUGUUUGAUCACCAAUAACAUGUUCAUAGUUGUUAUUAGUCGAUGAGAAUUGAUAGUAAUAAUGGAAAAACAUGAUUAGAGCUUGAGUUGUAUGUUCAUGAAAAUAAAUGUACACUUAAGUGGAUUUUCCAGCAUUUCAUGAAGGAAAACAGAGUUGAACUAGUAUUUCACCACGAAAAUGGGGAAAACUAUUUUGCUCUAGGCCAUUUCAUCAUGAGAAUGAGAUUUGGUAAUAUUGGAAAUGAAUCCCUGAUUAAACAAGAAAAAUAACAAGAGGUAAAUCUAUUCAUUUGUGUUGUUUAUGUCAUAAGUGGAAUCUACAUCCCUAGAUUCAAUCUUUAAUGAAAUUUCUCCAUUUGCAUUUAAAAUUGAUUAAACCAAAUUUGUAGAUAAUAGCAACAUUAUAAUUUUUUUGCUCAGAUUUAUUGUAAGUCUAAAUAAUAGAAAAAAAUAAGAGCCUAGUAUUUGUUUAAUUUGCUUCUCGUGGUAUCGACCCGAUACAUAUUCUAAAUUACGAUUUUGGCUUCUACACUUGUAGUCAACGGGUAUAAAAUCGGAUUUAAACUUGCAUUGAUAUAAAAAUUCCGUCAAGUUUUUGGCGCCGUUGUAGAGGAUGACGAUGAUGCCGAGGGUGAUGACUGAAUUGGCGCAUUGCAGAUGCUAUCUUUUGUUGCUGGAUUUGCUUGCCUGAUUGUCUUAACUUGUGAAAUUUAAGUUGUUUAACUUCAUUUUAUUUUUCAGCUUUGUAUUUGGUAGGUACUUAUAUUUUGGCAGUGGUUCGUGAUUAAUGGCUGAUAAGGAUCUCAGCCAUUGCCUUGGGAAGUAUUUCUUUCUUUUUUUUUCUUUUCUUUCCUUCGCUACACAUUGAGGACAAUGUGUAUUUUAAGUAUAGGGGAGAAAUAUGUGUGGUAAUUGUGGUUUUAGUUGUGUUUGAUGUUGGUUAUAUUUCUUAUUGUAAGGCCCAAAGACAACCUAAGAGGGGGGGUGAAUUAGGUUGAUUAAAAUCUUAAUCAAAUUUAUGCACUUUUUCUUUAAUAAAAAUUUACUUUCUUUUCUAGUAAUGAUCAACCAAGUAGAUUAGAAGAAGAGAGCAAUGUUGAUUAGAAAAACAAGUAUAGAUAAGCAAUGAGAAUUUUAUUAAACAAAAAGAAUAAGAUAGAAUAUCAAACCGAUUGUCUACCAAGCUUUUCUCAAACUUGAAGACCAAUCACUAGGUUGAGCAACUUCACUUUGAUGAAAGAUGAUCAACUAGAUGUACAAUGGAGGGAGCACUUCCUCCUUGCCCUAAGCCUCACUUGUUCAAGCUAAGAAGUUUUACAAUCACUCAGAUAACCCUCAACAAAGCUACACUAAUGAAACUUUCAACCAUAAGAGAAAUGCUCACAAGAAAUUCACACCACUUGGAGAACAAAUCUAGCUUUGAAGACUAUUUUUUAGCUAAAAUAUCUCUUGAGAUCUUGUAAACAAAGUGUGCAAAAGUCUCGGACGUCCGACGCGGUUGAUGUGAGUCCGAGGCGUGCGUCCGAUCCUUCCGGACGUCCAACGCUUCCUUAUGAGCGUGCGACAGAGCUUCCUUAUGAGUUUUUAUCGUCCGACAGAAUCUGUCGGACGUCCAACAUGAGUGUCCUAUUUUUUAUUCUUCUUUUGGUUGAUUUUCAUUUCUUGACAUAUUCGUACCUGAUUCUUUGAUAGGCAAAAAAUACUUACAUUUGAAGAGAGUUAGAUAAGCAUUUCAAAGUACUUUGUGAUCAUCAAAACCAAGAAUAACAUUCUCCCCCUUUUUGAUGAUGACAAAACACUGAUUUGAAAUGAAAUUUGAUGAUUGCAAUAUAAGCACCCCCUUUCUCAAUUGACAAAAUCUCCCCCUUACUUAUUGGAUCAUUGAGCAAAAGUUUGAAAAACUCCCCCUUACUUAUUGGAUCAUAGAACAAAAAUUUGAAAAACUCCCCCUUACUUGGCUACCCAACCGAAUUAAUCAAUUAUCCAAAAACGUAACAAUUAAGCAGCCAACAUCCAACAUUUUACCAAUUCAAUCCAUCAGCCAAUUCAAUUUCAAUUAAAUCAUCAAUCAAUCCAAUCCAGUCCUCUCCCCCUUUUUGUCAUCACAAAAGGCCAAUCAAUCACAUAUAUCACGGAGAAUCAAUAACAAAAACAUUCAUCACAUCCACACAUUCAUCAUUCAAAAUACUUAAACAUCCAUCCACAUAUUCAUAACCAUUACAGCCAUAAUUAUCCAUCAAAAAGUACUAAACGAUCACAACAUAAACAUAAGUAUUACAUUUACAUAUCCAUUGUUGAACACCACAACUACUAGAAACACAUGAAAUAGACAAACAAAAUGCAAAUGACCCUAUGUGAUCCUAAAUGGUGAACUAGGUGGAUCCAAGUGUCCUUUGAGAGAGCUGAUAUUGGGAGAGGUCCUCCUCUUCAGUUUCUUCAUCAUCUUCAGCAACUUCUUCAACUGGUGCCUUGCCUUUAUCUGAUGUGGAAGGGCCAUGAGGAGUCACGGGAGUUGAUGAGCUCGGGUCUGGAAUUGAUGAAUUUGGAUCAGUGGGGCGUGGCUCUUUGCUAUGGGAAACUUCCUCAACCACAGGUGGGGGAAAAAGAAGGUUCUUUUUGUCUAGGUAGGCUGUUUGUUGCUCAGAGGACAUGGUGAGCAUUAGACCACGUUCCAGAAGAAGAACAUGUUGUUUGAGUUCUCGAAGGAGCUCAAUCACUUCAUCAUUGGAGGAGGAAGAUGUCUUAGUGGCAGACUUCCUAGGAUGAAUGGGAGUGAGUGCAACAGAUGAAGGAUUGUGUAGUGGAUCAUGUGCAGCCUUAGACCUAGGUUCACUAGAUGAUGCCCCCUUAUAAGCCCAUAGAUUAUCCUUAAAGACAAGAUUUUUCCUUUCAAAAUAUUCUUUGGUAAAGGCAUAAGAAGAUGCUUCUUUGGGACAAACACCUAGAAUUGGUACUUUGUAAAACUCAAAAAUCUUUUGAAAAAUUUUUUCAUAAGAUAAUUUUCUGCGAGAAUCAGUGGCAUAGCGAAGUAAAAACUUGCACAUGACAAAACCAAAAUCAAUACGAAUUUUUUCUCGAAAACAGUAAAAGAGAUACAACUCCAUUUUGUUUGCAUCUGUUCUAUGGCCAUCAGUAGGCACAAGCAGGUUUGAAAUGACUGAGAAGGCAAUUAGAUUCACAGGGGCAAGAUCAUUCAGUUUAGCAUCAGCAGGGGAAGAAAAACUUCUUUUGAAAUAAGUCAACAUCUUAGCCCCAUCAAAAUGAUUAUCAGCAGUAGGGUGCUCUUCAUAGAAAAAGAAAUUUAUAAUUUUACUCUUGCAUCCACGUUCAAUGGUAGUAUUUAAGAUGGCAUUCACAGUUUCAGGAUCAAAUACUAAGUCUACCCCAUUUACUCUGGACAUAAUUUCAGUGUGAUCAGUGCCUUUCCUAAGAUUAGCAAAGAAUUGAUACAGCAUUUCAGGGUAAUAAACAUUGGGCAUAGAAAUGAGAUGUGACCAUUUCUGGAAAGCAAACAGACUCAGAAUGGAUUCUAAGCCUAUUUGGCGAAAUUCAGAAGAAUUUACAGUGCGUUGAGGGAUGACACCUUUCUGGGAUAUCCAGGAGUGUUUGUCUUUUGCAGCAUCAUCAAAGAAUGUAGGGACUGUGGUUGAUUUUGGAGGCGGUUGAGAUGAGAUUCCCUGUCCAGAUUCAGGCUGAGGGGUGGGUUGUGGUGUAGGCUGUGACAUUUGACCCUUUACAGCUCCCCUCUUGACGCGUUUGGAUGAUCGUUUGACCGUAGGAACAUCAUCAUUCUCAUCCCUGAGUGGAUGCUUGCGUCCGGCAGUGACCUUCCCUCCUCUUAGAUUCACCAUUGUGCGAAAUGUGUGGAAUGAAGGAUGCAAAUGAUACACACAGUAGUAUGGAAGUGAAUCACACAGAAAUUUUGGGACAAAAAGGCCUUGAGGAAGAUUGGACAGAGCGGUUAUGAGAAAAUAGGGUUUUGAGGGAAAUUUGGGAAUUUGCGAAAUGUUAUGCGAUUCGGUGAAAUGAUCAGGAGAAACGAAUCGCAAUCGAUCAGGAAAAGUUUUGGUUGAGUCAAUUUGGGAAUGAGAGCUUCAGAACGGUAUGAAUUUGAGAGUGAGAGACGAGAGAGUUUUCGUCCGAGAGGAUGUGAGAACCCGUAAAUCCCUAAUAAUUUUCUUAGGAUUUUUCCCAUUUAAAGGCAUAAAUUUUGUAUUUUCUGGCUUAGGAAAUUUUUCCUGGUGAAUUUUAUGAGUAAUUAUAGUUUUUAGAUGAUUUUUCUAGUAUUGGAGAGUUUUUGAAAAAUUAAGAGUAUAUAAUGGACGUGGGACCCACUAGUGCGAAAAGUUCGGAAAAAUUCGGCGAAUUAGGUUAAAUUCCGGAUACUGUGUGAAAUUUAUCGGGUGUUAAGAGAUAAGUAGAGGAUGUGAAGUGAUUGAUGUGAGAGAAAAAAGAAAAGAUAAGAUUGCAUUAAUGGAGUGACAAGUGUCACCAUUUUAUUGGAUAUGAUUUGGUGACAACUAUUCAUGGUUUUUGACUUUUGACCAAAUUGGUUAAAUAUCUUGAAAAUUACCUCAAAAAUCACCAUUUAUUACUCCUUGAUGGCCGGCCCUCUCUUGAGCAAAGAAGAAAGAAACUCUUCAACAUUUUAGCUUCCAUUUAGCUCAAUCUUCCAAAACCAAUCAUAUAAACUAGUUUCUACUCCAUAAAAUCCCUUCCUUUGGUGCUAGUGAGUGAUUUGGUGAAGUUUUUGGAGAAGCUAAGGUGUUCUACAACUCCUCUUCUCUUGUUUACUAGGUAAGUGGUGCUUGAACUUUUCCCUACACCUAAUGAUGCUUAAUUUGUGCCUAGUGGAAGCUAAAGUGAUGAUAUUUGUGGUUUAUUUCUUGGUUGAGAUGAAUUGGUGAAGUUUUCAAUUUACUGGAGAUUUUUUCUGGUUUAAUGUGAUCAUGAUAUUGUGGUUAUUUAUGAUGGUUGGUAAUGAGGGGUAAUGACUCUAGUAGGUGUGAAUUAUUGAUAAUUGCAACCAAUUUUGGGUUUGGAUUGAAAUGUGAAAAGUUAGGGUUUCAUAACCCCCUUUUCUGUCCGGUUUUGUAUCUCAUGUUUAGAGGCCGAAUUGGCCUUGGCUUAAAACAUAAAAGUUGUAGGUAUUGAUGUGUUUGAGGUGCCUGUAAAAUUUCAGGUCAUUUGGAGUAGUGUAGACUGAGAUAUGUCGAUUUUACUGUUGCUAUUCUGGGUUGAUCAGAAUGUGUGAACUGCGCUUGUAAUCGUCUGUUUUGACUGGAAUUGCUUUGGAUUUGGAUGUUGGUGUCUUCUGAUGAAAUGUAUCUGGAUGUCUUGGCUACCACAUGCCUUUGGAAUCAAUGCAUUUGGACCUGUAUAGACUGAGUUGGACUAAUUACAGCAUAGUGUGAUUUGUAAACCUGCAAUUACGGUUUUGGUUUGGUAUUCUGCAUUUUUGACCUAGUUGUGCUAGGAUUUGGACUGAGUGGCCUUCUACAUUGUUGUAGCCCUGUCUUUUAGCUUCGAGAUGGUGGGUCUUACACCCUGAUCCGAUAAGCGUAGCGCAUUUUGUGCCAUUACCGCAUAAGGAGGCCAAAACUGUUUUGUUGUUAGGGCUAAUAUAGUUACAUUUCCUGAUUUUCUGGUUUGCUACCAUGCUUAUAUAUGCAUAUGAAACCCUAUUGGGGUUGUGAUUGGCAUGGCUUUAUGACUCGUUAUCGAGUCUCAUGGUAUUUGUUUACGUGUUCUAGGGCGUGACGUUAGUGCACGACGUAUUUUGGACGGCGGUGCAUGAAACCUCACCUACGUGAGUGGUGAGUAUACUACUCACUUGGAUGUUUAUAAUGUGGCUUUGCUAUAUGUGAUUGUGAUGCCUUAAAGGCUUGUUUGGCUAUUGGAAAUGAUUAGGGUGAGGGUGUACUUGACCGCACUCAUUCCUUUUAUUCCUGUGAAUGACUGUUUACCGUUUCACUGUAUUACUGUACUUGCUAUAUGAGUUAUUGGAUUCCAUUCAUGGGAUAUUGUUUGGGUGUCGGUUGGACGAGUAUCCAACGGCCCUACUGUAUUACUGAGCUCGACCCCGUUGGUAGUCACUUGAAUCGAGCCAGCGAGGGCUUGGUCGUGAAAAUUGACUAGCCACGGGGACUGAAAUGGGAAUCUUAUGGUAAUGAGACCCUUGGUUCCGGUGUACUCGAGUAUCACCUAAAGUUACUGCUUGGAGUGCGGGCCCGGUUGGGGUAUGUUGGGUGGAAGGAAUGAAGUAAAAUGAGGUCUACGGUUUGGUACUUUUAACAUUGACGGAGGGUCAAUGAGGUUGGAUCAAGAAUAUAAGCGAGGAAAUGGGCUCUUGAGAGCCGUCCGUAUCCUUUCACUGAUUUGAUUUACUUCUUAAUUGCAUACUUGAACUGAACGGUUAUGCUUAUGUGAUCUUAGUUGCUAUUGUGGUAGUAACUCACUGAGCUUUAGCUCACUCCGUUCCAUUUGUUUUUCUUACAGGAAAAUGAUCACUUUUGGGGAAAAGUUCAUACUUGUCGGUUGCCAAAUUGAGCUUUUGUAUAUGUAUCUUUUGAAUAGCUUUUGAAUGAAACCCUAAUGUGUAUUGGGUUCACUUUCUUUUGGAUUGGCAAACCGAAUAUGUAUAUUCAUGAUGAAUGGUUGUUGUGGCAUGCCAUUUGGUUGUAAAUGUUAGAUUUCAGUGUAUAUAUGUUGGAUUGAUGUUUGGUUGAACUCCGGAUUCUGACGUGUCCGGCACUGUUCAUUAUCGGCGCGUUUUUUCGUUUUUUUUCAUUUUGUGAUUUUGACUUGUUUGCACGCGUUGGUUUGUUCCGGAACUUAUUAGAUCGACGUAACUGAUCCGUUAGUCCUGGCGAGAGCUGGGCAGGCAGUCCGCUAACCCUUUUGGUUCGCCUUAGGGAAAGGUGCGGCUGUCACAGGUGGUAUCAAAGCCUAGGUUUGAAUUAGCCUGGGUGUUAUAGGACUGCUUGAUUUGAGAAUUUGUUUUUUAUGGCCGUAAGCUUAUAUUUAUGGUUAAUUGUUCUUGUGGUGUUGGAUGGCCGGACAGUGUGACCCUAGUGCUAGUCCUUCGGGAGUGAGACCUCGCAGAGCACUCCCCGUGAUCCCAUAUCAGAUACGGCCAGGAGGGGCCGUUAUUCGUUGGAUUCCGUCUAACCGUCUUCGACGGUGCGCGUGUAAAGAAAAGUAUGCCUAUCCGAACGCUCUCGUGUUUGCUCUGGACAAGGAGCGUAAGGUGUUGGCUAGAGAGAAUGCUCGACUUGAGGUCGAGGCGAUCCAAGAUAGGGCGACCAACGAGAAGCAACCUGCACGUAUUAAAGAGCUAGAAUACGACGUGCUCGAGGUCGAGGACAGAGUUGAUGACCUAUGCAACCAACUGAGGGAGGCACGAGAGCGCGAUCUCAAGCGAGCUCGUAAAGUCAGGGGUCGCGCUGAGGCGAUCCUUAACCUAUGUGAUGACGGGCUCGAGGAGGAUAGUGAUGAGGCCUCGUGUGCGGGGGCCGAGGUUGGGGAGGAGUCUACCCCUUCGCCUGGGUCCCAGACCCCGGCAACUGACUAGGCCUUGACUUCUAGGCUUCUUUUGGGAUAGUUUGGUGGUUUUGUAUGUACAUAGGGAUAGGGAUAGAGCCUUAGCUAAUCGUUUUGGUUGUUGGAUUAGCUAUGUGUAAAUCUCUUUUGAUAGGCGAAUCCUCGGGGGGAUCGUUUAUGUUUGUACGUGCCUUGGCCGUACUUGACUCGACUGAUUGUAUAUAUGUGUGUGGCUUGAUCUUGCUUGGCUUGUAUAUAUGUUUGUGAUCAUGUUUGCAAUGUAUAAAUAUGUGUUAUUGUGAAAGUUUUGCGUAUUACUUACAUGCCUUGUUACUACUUUGGUUUAGUACUCUUGCCUAGACCAAGUAAAACUUAUGGAAGGUACUCGGAGUGGUCGGGGACGUGGACGCGGAACUAGACAACCCACACCGGUUAGGGGUACGGGGGAAACCUCGACUGGACCCGAUCUUGAACCACAAGCCUACCCUAAUGUGCAAAUAGCUGCUGCUAUGCAGCAAAUGACAAACCUGCUAGCACAAGUAGUGCAGCAACAAGCCCAGAACCCAAACCCUAAUCCUGGAAACCCUGGCUAUCAUAUCGAGAGCGAAGAUAGAGCUCUCGAACGUUUUCAAAAGUUUGCUCCACCGAAGUUUGUUGGGGGACCCGACCCGGACGUUGCUGAGAGGUGGCUUGAAAAGAUGGUUGACAUAUUUGCAGCCCUACACUACCCUGAUGAACGGCAGGUGACUUUUACCGUAUUUCAACUUGAGGGGGCGGCCCGUUCCUGGUGGAACGUGAUCCGACAGAAAUGGGAACGGGAGCAGACGCCCAGGACUUGGGUGAACUUUAUUCGAGAGUUUAAUGCGAAGUUCUUCCCUCCUCUAGUCCAGGAGAGGAAGGAGGACGAGUUUAUUAGGCUCCGCCAAGGGGCUCAAACUGUGGCGGAAUAUGAGAGUCAAUUCACCCGCCUGUCCAAGUUUGCGCCUGAGUUAAUCAUGACUGAACAACGACGGAUUCGGCGCUUUAUUCAGGGUUUGAAUGUUGAAAUUCAGAAAGACCUCGCGGCGGCUCAAAUCACUGCGUUUAGCGAGGCUGUAGAAAAGGCCCAACGAGUUGAAAGUGCACGGUUGCAGGUCCGGAACUUCCAGGCGAAGAAGAGUGGCUUUCCUGGGAGUAGUUCUGGACAGGGUGAGAAGAGCACUCCCUCUAAAUUUGGACGCGGAACGGGAGGUGGUCGACAAUCUGGUGCAGGUAGAGGGACUCCAUUUAGGGGUGGCCAAGUUGGGCGAGAACCGAGGGGAAACGCUCAGAGUGGCUCGGCUUCAGCACCUCGCGGUUCCUGCGGGCAUUGCGGGAAGUCAAACCACAACGAAGAUAACUGCUGGAGGAAACAGGGUAAAUGUCUGCGAUAUGGAAGCGCCGACCACCAAUUGGCCACUUGCCCAGUUCUGAAACAAGAUGGAAAGGGAAGCUAACCACUGCCGAGGACCAAUGCUGGACCAGCCAAGGGAGAUGGGUCCAAACCUAAAGUGCCAGCUAGGGUGUACUCUAUAGAGCCCCAUCAGGUCCCAGAGUCUUUGGAGGUCGUAGAAGGUACGAUCCCUAUUUUCCACCACUUCGCCAAAGUUUUAAUUGAUCCUGGUGCCACUCAUUCGUUUGUUAACCCUGAUUUCAUGUGUGGCAUCGAUAUAAAACCUGCUAGUUUACCAUAUGACCUAAAAGUUAGUACACCUACGGGGAAUCAACGUUUGGUGACUAGUAUGGUUUAUAGGGAUUGUGAUGUAUGAGUAGGUGAAAGGAGAUUUUUAGGAGACCUGAUUAGCUUGUCCAUUAAGGGGUACGAUGUGAUUUUGGGUAUGGACUAGCUAGCCAAAUAUAACGCCCAACUGGAUUGUAAAACAAAAGUAGUAGAAUUUCGCAUUCCUGGCGAGGCAACCUUAAGGUUGGAUAUAAAGGGUAGAUUAGCCUCAUCUGCUUUAAUUUCGGGCAUUCGAGCUAGGAAACUGAUAAGUAGAAGGGCGCAAGAAUUUUUGGCCUUUUUGAUUAACACCCCUACGGAUAAGUUAAAAGUGGAAGACGUGGCCGUGGUAAGGGAAUUUCCCGAUGUAUUCCCUGAUGAGUUAGUAGCCUUACCGCCGGAAAGGGAGAUAGAAUUCCGAAUAGAUCUGUUACCUGGAACCUCACCUAUCUCAAAAACUCCUUACCGAAUGGCGCCUGCAGAACUUAAGGAGCUUAAGCUGCAAUUACAAGACCUUUUGGAGCGGGGAUUCAUUCAUGAGAGUGGGUCUCCUUGGGGAGCUCCUGUCCUAUUUGUGAAGAAAAAGGACGGAACCUUGAGGAUGUGUAUUGACUACCGGGGCUUGAACAACGUUACGAUCAAGAAUAAAUAUCCACUGCCCCACAUUGACGAGUUGUUUGACCAGCUGCAAGGAGCAGUGGUCUUCUCAAAGUUGGACCUCCGACAAGGAUAUUACCAGUUGUUAAUUAGGAAGGAGGACAUUCCGAAAACUGCUUUCAACUCAAGAUACGGGCAUUACGAGUUCGCCGUGAUGCCCUUUGGACUGACCAAUGCUCCCGCCGCCUUUAUGGACCUAAUGCAUAGGAUUUUUAAACCCUAUCUAGACCGAUUUGUUGUUGUGUUCAUCGAUGACAUUUUGGUCUACUCUAAGACACGCGAGGAGCAUGAGGAGCAUUUAAGGGUGGUGUUGCAGGCUCUACGAGAACAUCAACUGUAUGCCAAGUUUAGUAAAUGCGAGUUCUGGUUGGAGAAAGUAGCAUUCCUAGGGCACGUAAUCUCCCACGAAGGCAUUUCGGUGGAUCCGGCGAAGGUAGAGGCUGUGACAAACUGGAAGAGGCCAAAAAAUCUCACGGAAAUUCGCAGCUUUCUAGGGCUAGCUGGGUACUACCGAAGGUUCAUUAAAGAUUUCUCCAAAUUAGCAGGACCUUUAACUGACCUGACAAAGAAGCAUGGUCGAUUUAUCUGGAACGCCCGUUGCGAAACAAGUUUUCAGGAACUAAAGAGAAGAUUGACCAUGGCUCCAGUGCUGGUUUUGCCAAAUGGAGUGGACGGGUUUGCGGUGUAUGCCGACGCGUCGCGAGAAGGAUUGGGGUGCGUAUUGAUGCAGAACCGGAAUGUGAUUUCUUUCGCCUCUAGGAAAUUAAAGAUUCACGAGCAGAACUACCCGACUCACGAUCUGGAACUAGCCGCAGUUGUCUUUGCACUGAAAAAGUGGAGGCAUUACCUAUAUGGGGUGACCUUCGAAGUGUAUUCGGAUCACAAAAGUCUUAGGUACCUCUUCUCCCAGAAGGAAUUGAACAUGAGGCAACGAUGGUGGAUGGAAUUUUUGGAAGACUACGACUGCACAAUCAACUACCAUCCGGGAAAGGCAAAUGUGGUAGCUGAUGCCUUGAGUCGUAAGGUGCAAGUAGUAGGGUUGAUGAUUAAGGAGUGGGAUUUAUUAGAAUCCGUAUACGAGUGGAGACCCUGUCUUGGGAGUCAUAAGGUGAUAUUUAGCAAUGUUAGGGUAACCUACACUCUGCUGGAACGUAUUAAAGAGGCGCAAAGCGAAGAUUUGAUGGUACGGAAGUGGGGAGAGAAAGUGGAAAAGGGAGAAACAACGGACUUCAAUUUUAGUCCUGAGGGCAUUUUGAAGUAUCGACACCGAAUAGUGGUACCAAAGGAUGAGUCGUUGAAAGCAGAGAUUCUGGAGGAAGCUCAUCGGUCUAAGUAUACAAUCCAUCCGGGCAGCAGCAAGAUGUAUCAGGACCUGAAAGGAACCUAUUGGUGGGACAAUAUGAAGAGGGAAAUCGCUCAGUACGUGCAGAAAUGUCUUAUUUGCCAACAAGUGAAAGCAGAGCAUCAAAAACCAUCGGGUCUGUUACAACCCUUGGAGAUACCCGAAUGGAAGUGGGAAAACAUCACAAUGGACUUCGUUUCAGGUUUACCGAGGACGCAAAGAGGACAUGAUGCCGUUUGGGUGAUCGUGGAUCGAUUAACCAAAUCGGCUCAUUUCUUGCCGGUGAACAUGAAGUAUUCAAUGGACAAGUUGGCUCGACUGUACAUGGACGAGAUAGUAAGACUACACGGUGUUCCUGUGAGCAUCGUCUCCGAUCGGGAUCCACGGUUUGUAUCUCGGUUUUGGCAGAAGUUUCAAGAAACCCUGGGGACGAAACUCAAUUUGAGCACGACCUAUCACCCUCAGACGGAUGGACAGUCGGAGCGGACAAUUCAAACUCUCGAGGACAUGCUACGAACUUGCAUUCUGGAUUUUGGUGGCAACUGGGGUCAACAUAUGACCUUGGUAGAGUUUGCGUACAACAACAGCUUCCAUUCGUCGAUCCAAAUGGCUCCAUAUGAAGUUCUAUAUGGACGAAAGUGUCGGUCGCCGAUUUACUGGGACGAAGUUGGCGAAAAGAAAGCACUAGACCCAGCAACUAUUCCAUGGAUGGAAGAGGCUCAAGAGAAGGUCAAGUUGAUACGGCAACGAAUCCAAACAGCUCAAAGCCGACAAAAGAGCUACGCAGAUAAUCGAAGAAAAGACUUGGAGUUUGAAGUUGGGGAUCACGUAUUUCUUAAGAUCACACCCUUACGAAGUAUCACAGCGGGCAAAGGAAAGAAACUUCAACCGCGGUACGUCGGACCCUACAAGAUCCUUCAGAGGGUGGGAGCGGUCGCGUAUCGAUUGGAACUGCCAUCCAGUCUCUCUCGAAUCCACGAUGUGUUUCACGUUUCGAUGUUAAAGAAAUAUCAUCCCGACCCAUCCCAUGUCUUACAACCGGAGGAGAUUGAAGUAGACGAAUCACUUGCCUAUCAAGAGAAACCGGUCCAAGUGCUCGAUCGGAAAGUCAAGGAGCUCAGAAACAAGCGGAUUCCGCUAGUGAAAGUGCUAUGGAGGAACCAUGGGGUAGAGGAAGCUACCUGGGAAGUGGAAGAGGAAAUGCGAAAGAAGUAUCCAAACCUUUUCGGGAAUUAAGGUGAGAAACUUCGAGGACGAAAUUCUUUUAAGGGGGAGAGAGUGUGAGAACCCGUAAAUCCCUAAUAAUUUUCUUAGGAUUUUUCCCAUUUAAAGGCAUAAUUUUUGUAUUUUCUGGCUUAGGAAAUUUUUCCUGGUGAAUUUUAUGAGUAAUUAUAGUUUUUAGAUGAUUUUUCUAGUAUUGGAGAGUUUUUGAAAAAUUAAGAGUAUAUAAUGGACGUGGGACCCACUAGUGCGAAAAGUUCGGAAAAAUUCGGCCAAUUAGGUUAAAUUCCGGAUACUGUGUGAAAUUUAUCGGGUGUUAAGAGAUAAGUAGAGGAUGUGAAGUGAUUGAUGUGAGAGAAAAAAGAAAAGAUAAGAUUGCAUUAAUGGAGUGACAAGUGUCACCAUUUUAUUGGAUAUGACUUGGUGACAACUAUUCAUGAUUUUUGACUUUUGACCAAAUUGGUUAAAUAUCUUGAAAAUUACCUCAAAAAUCACCAUUUAUUACUCCUUGAUGGCCGGCCCUCUCUUGAGCAAAGAAGAAAGAAACUCUUCAACAUUUUAGCUUCCAUUUAGCUCAAUCUUCCAAAACCAAUCACAUAAACUAGUUUCUACUCCAUAAAAUCCCUUCCUUUGGUGCUAGUGAGUGAUUUGGUGAAGUUUUUGGAGAAGCUAAGGUGUUCUACAACUCCUCUUCUCUUGUUUACUAGGUAAGUGGUGCUUGAACUUUUCCCUACACCUAAUGAUGCUUAAUUUGUGCCUAGUGGAAGCUAAAGUGAUGAUAUUUGUGGUUUAUUUCUUGGUUGAGAUGAAUUGGUGAAGUUUUCAAUUUACUGGAGAUUUUUUCUGGUUUAAUGUGAUCAUGAUGUUGUGGUUAUUUAUGAUGGUUGGUAAUGAGGGGUAAUGACUCUAGUAGGUGUGAAUUAUUGAUAAUUGCAACCAAUUUUGGGUUUGGAUUGAAAUGUGAAAAGUUAGGGUUUCAUAACCCCCUUUUCUGUCCGGUUUUGUAUCUCAUGCUUAGAGGCCGAAUUGGCCUUGGCUUAAAACAUAAAAGUUGUAGGUAUUGAUGUGUUUGAGGUGCCUGUAAAAUUUCAGGUCAUUUGGAGUAGUGUAGAGUGAGAUAUGUCGAUUUUACUGUUGCUGUUCUGGGUUGAUCAGAAUGUGUGAACUGCGCUUGUAAUCGUCUGUUUUGACUGGAAUUGCUUUGGAUUUGGAUGUUGGUGUCUUCUGAUGAAAUUUAGCUGGAUGUCUUGGCUACCGCAUGCCUUUGGAAUCAAUGCAUUUGGACCUGUAUAGACUGAGUUGGACUAAUUACAGCAUAGCGUGAUUUGUAAACCUGCAAUUACGGUUUUGGUUUGGUAUUCUGCAUUUUUGACCUAGUUGUGCUAGGAUUUGGACUGAGUGGCCUUCUACAUUGUUGUAGCCCUGUCUUUUAGCUUCGAGAUGGUGGGUCUUACACCCUCAUCCGAUAAGCGUAGCGCAUUUUGUGCCAUUACCGCAUAAGGAGGCCAAAACUGUUUUGUUGUUAGGGCUAAUAUAGUUACAUUUCCUGAUUUUCUGGUUUGCUACCAUGCUUAUAUAUGCAUAUGAAACCCUAUUGGGGUUGUGAUUGGCAUGGCUUUUUGACUCGUUAUCGAGUCUCAUGGUAUUUGUUUACGUGUUCUAGGGCGUGACGUUAGUGCACGACGUAUUUUGGACGGCGGUGCAUGAAACCUCACCUACGUGAGUGGUGAGUAUACUACUCACUUGGAUGUUUAUAAUGUGGCUUUGCUAUAUGUGAUUGUGAUGCCUUAAAGGCUUGUUUGGCUAUUGGAAAUGAUUAGGGUGAGGGUGUACUUGACCGCCCUCAUUCCUUUUAUUCCUGUGAAUGACUGUUUACCGUUUCACUGUAUUACUGUACUUGCUAUAUGAGUUAUUGGAUUCCAUUCAUGGGAUAUUAUUGGGUGUCGGUUGGACGAGUAUCCAACGGCCCUACUGUAUUACUGAGCUCGACCCCGUUGGUAGUCACUUGAAUCGAGCCAGCGAGGGCUUGGUCGUGAAAAUUGACUAGCCACGGGGACUGAAAUGGGAAUCUUAUGGUAAUGAGACCCUUGGUUCCGGUGUACUCGAGUAUCACCUAAAGUUACUGCUUGGAGUGCGGGCCCGGUUGGGGUAUGUUGGGUGGAAGGAAUGAAGUAAAAUGAGGUCUACGGUUUGGUACUUUUAACAUUGACGGAGGGUCAAUGAGGUUGGAUCAAGAAUAUAAGCGAGGAAAUGGGCUCUUGAGAGCCGUCCGUAUCCUUUCACUGAUUUGAUUUACUUCUUAAUUGCAUACUUGAACUGAACGGUUAUGCUUAUGUGAUCUUAGUUGCUAUUGUGGUAGAAACUCACUGAGUUUUAGCUCACUCCGUUCCAUUUGUUUUCCUUACAGGAAAAUGAUUACUUUUGGGGAAAAGUUCAUACUUGUCGGUUGCCAAAUUGAGCUUUUGUAUAUGUAUCUUUUGAAUAGCUUUUGAAUGAAACCCUAAUGUGUAUUGGGUUCACUUUCUUUUGGAUUGGCAAACCGAAUAUGUAUAUUCAUGAUGAAUGGUUGUUGUGGCAUGCCAUUUGGUUGUAAAUGUUAGAUUUCAGUGUAUAUAUGUUGGAUUGAUGUUUGGUUGAACUCCGGAUUCUGACGUGUCCGGCACUGUUCAUUAUCGGCGCGUUUUUUCGUUUUUUUUCAUUUUGUGAUUUUGACUUGUUUGCACGCGUUGGUUUGUUCCGGAACUUAUUAGAUCGACGUAAUUGAUCCGUUAGUCCUGACGAGAGCUGGGCAGGCCGUCCGCUAACCCUUUUGGUUCGCCUUAGAGGAAGGUGGGGCUGUCACAGAGGAAAUAGAAGAACAAGAGUUUGAAGCAAAUGAGGAAGAAAAGUUACUUUAAAAAGUGAACCGUUGCACUGUCGGACGGCCGAACGAAGUCGUGCGUCCAACAGUUUCGUCCGAACAGGUGCAUUCUGGGAAAAUAGCUGAAGAACAUCAUCGGACAUCCGUUCAUCUUCUUUCGGACGUCCGAAGGCUAUGAAAAAUUUUAAGAUGAUUUUUCGAUUAUUCCUAAUUUUGAUCUUAGAUGAAUGAACUGAUCUAAUGGCAAAGGUUUUGUAAAAAUAUCAGCAAAUUGAUCUUUAGAACAAACAUAAUUUACACAAAUUUCACCUUUUUGAACAAGAUUACGAAUAAAGUGGUGCUUUAUAUCUAUAUGUUUUAUCCUAGAAUGCUGAAUAGGAUUUUUGGUCAAAUUUAUAGCACUAGUAUUAUCACAGAAUAUAGGCAUGCAGUCAUAUAACAAUCCAAAAUCAUUCAAGGUAUGCUUCAUCCAUAAAAGUUGAGCACAACAUGCACUAGCGGCAAUAUAUUCCGCUUCGAUUGUAGACAAAGAGAUUGCAUUUUGUUUUUUGGUAAACCAAGAAACUAAGGAAUUACCAAGAAAGUGACAAGUUCCACUAGUACUUUUUCUGUCCACACGACAACCACCAAAAUUCGCAUCCGAAUAUCCAUAUAGAGCAAAUUCACAAGAUCUAGCAUACCAAAGACCAUAGUCUAAUGUACCUUUCAAAUACCUAAAAAUUCUUUUAACAGCAUUUAAAUGUGAUUCUUUUGGACAAGAUUGAAAUCUAGCACACAAGCAAAUAGCAAACAUAAUAUUGGGUCUACUUGCGGUUAAAUAGAGUAGGCUUCCGAUCAUACCUCUAUAGUGCUUUUCAUCCACAUGAUUACCUUCUUCAUCUUUGUCAAGUUUUGUAGAAGUGCACAUUGGAGUUCCAACUUGCUUUGAGUCCUCCAUGCCAAACAUUUUCAGCAAUUCCUUGGUAUAUUUUGCUUGAUUUAUAAAAAUUCCCUCAAGUGCUUGAUGUAUUUGAAGCCCAAGGAAAAAAUUUAAUUCUCCCAUCAUACUCAUUUCAAAUUCACUUUGCAUAGUGGUGGAAAAAUCCUUGCAUAGAUACUCAUUAGUAGCACCAAAAAUAAUAUCAUCUACAUAUAUUUGCACAAUAAGAAGAUCAUUUAACACUUGUUUAGUAAAAAGUGUGGUGUCCAGAAUACCUCUUUUGAAACCAUUUUCAAUCAAGAAACCACUUAAUCUUUCAUACCAAGCUCUUGGACCCUGUUUUAAACCAUAUAAUGCUUUAGAUAGUUUAAACACAUGACUUGAAAAUUUUGUAUUUUCAAAAUCGGGGGGUUGAUCCACAUAUACUUCUUGAUCAAUAAAACCAUUUAAAAAGGCACUUUUAACAUCCAUUUGAAACAAUUUGAAACCUUUGAAGCAAGCAAAAGCAAGAAACAUUCUAAUAGAUUCUAAUCUAGCUACGGGAGUAAAUGUUUCAUCAAAAUCAAUUCCUUCUUCUUGUGCAUAUCCUUUAGCAACUAAUCUGGCUUUAUUUCUUACAACAACACCUUUAUCAUCCAACUUAUUUAUAAAUAUCCACUUCAUGCCAAUGAUAGGUUGAUUUUGAGGUCUAUCAACAAGUGUCCAAACCUUAUUUCUCUCAAAUUGAUUAACUUCCUCUUGCAUUGCCAAAAUCCAGUUUUCAUUCUUUAAAGCAUCAUUGAUAGUUUUGGGUUCAAAAAGAGAAACUAAAGCAAAAUUGUCUAUCAAUUUUCUAGAUGAGGAACGAGUCUUUACCUUCUAGGAUGGAUCACUAAUUAUAAGAUCUCUUGGAUGAUUUUGGCUAAAUUUCCAAGCAUUGGGAAGGUCUUUGAAUGAAUCAUCAUUCUUGUCUUCAUCUUCCUUUUCUUGAUCAUCAUGAGCUUCAUCCACCAUUUCCUUUGAUGCUGGUUUAGAGUUUCCUUCAUCUCCAAUUGUUAGCUUUUCCAUUCCUUCAUGAACACCUACAUCAUCAUCCUCACACGAACUUUUGGAAUUAUCAUCAUUAGUUUCAUCAAAUGUUAUGUGUAUAACUUCUUCUAUCACAAGAGUCCUUCUAUUAAAGACUCUAUAUCCUUUUUUGUUCUCACAAUAUCCCAAAAAUAUUCCUUCAUCAGAUUUUUUCUCAAACUUACCAAGAUGUUCCUUUAAAUUUAAAAUAAAACAUUUACAACCAAAGACUUUGAAAUAUCCAACCGUAGGUUUCUUAUCAAAAAUCAGUUCAUAAGAUGUUUUAUUCAAAAUGGGUCUCAAAAGGAUUCUAUUCAUCACAUAACAUGCAGUGUUUACCGCUUCAGCCCAAAGGUAUUUUGGCAAACUACAUUCACUUAACAUAGUUCUAACAGCCUCUUGUAGUGUCAUAUUUUUCCUUUCUACAACACCAUUUUGUUGUGGAGUUCUUGCAAUAGAAAACUCAUGUGUUAUGCCAUUAUGAUCACAAAAUUCUGGAAAACCACAAUACUUGAAUUCCGUUCCAUUAUCACUUCUAAUCCUAACAAUUUUUAAACUAAGCAGAUUUUGCACUUUAGCAAACAAUGAAGUGAAAUUCUUGAAGGCAUCAUCCUUAUGAGCAAGAAAUAUCACCCCAAGUAUAUCUAAAAUAAUCAUCCACAAUCACAAAGCAGUAUUUCUUACCUCCCAAGCUAGUGAUUUGAGUAGGACCAAAUAAGUCAAGAUGCAAGAGUUCUAAAGGUUUAGAAGUUGAUACACACAUCUUUGGUUUAAAAGAAACUUUUGUUUGCUUUCCAAAUUGACAUGCAUCACAAAUUUUAUCCUUUUCAAAACACAUUUUUGGCAAGCCUCUAACCAGUUCCUUUUUCGAAAUUUCCUUUAGUAAAUCCAUGUUAAAAUGACAAAGUCUCCUAUGCCACAAUCAAGGAUCUUCAUUUGAAGCUAGAUGAAUCAAUUUUAUCAAGAACCACAAUAUAUAUGUCGUUAAACCUCUUACUUUUGAACACAACAUUAUAUUUGGAAUCAAGCACAAUGCAUUCAUGCUUUUUAAACAACACAUUCAAGUCUUUAUCACACAAUUGACUAACACUAAGCAAGUUAUAACCUAAGUUAUCAACUAAGAGUACAUUAUGAACAAAAGUUUCACCAUCCUUACCAACAUCACCUAUUCCAAUUGUCUUAGCUUUCACAUCAUCACCGAAUGUCACCUUUCCACUUGAUUUUGAUUUUAGUUUUAUGAACAAAGAGGGAUCACCGGUCAUAUGCCUUGAGCAGCCACUAUCAAUAAACCAUUUAGACUUGUUUGAGCCUUUUCCUGAAAAGAGAAAGUGUUUGGUACCCUUUUUAAUUUUUGGGUCCACAAUAGUUAGCAUUGUGUCUAACUAACCACAUGUAUCUCAUCCCUUUGUUCAGAUUUCUUUUUACAUAGCAAUCUCCUUUCAAAUGCCCUUUUUGACAACAAAAACCACACAUAAUGGAAGAAUCCUUAACAUGUAAUAGUUUGACAUAUCUAAAUCCACUUCUUCUAUAUGUUGUGAAACCAUGUGCAUUUUUGUUGUGUGCUAAUGUUUUUUGAUGAGCAGUAAGAAAGGUAGAUGACAUGUUCUUUUUGAGAAAAUCUUGCUUUCUUGCUUUUAAAGUCUCAUCCAAGUUGUCCAUUCUUUUCUUCAAAUCACCAUGUCUUUCCUUCAGCAUUUCACAAAUACUUGUCUUUCUAUCAAUCUCAUUUUGAACAUCAACUCCGGCUCUUACAAGACAUUCAUUGUCAGUCCUUAGUUGUUUAUAUUGUUGAAGAAGACUUGCAUUUACAUGAAUGAGAAAAGCAAUUUUCUGUUUUAGUUGCUUGUUUUUAUCAUAAGAUUCCUUCAAGGCAUUAUGUAGUUUUUCAACAAAGGAUUCAAGAUCAUCAUCUUCUUCAUCAUCACUUUCAGAUUGAGAGUGUAUGGAAGUUACCUCAUUAUCUCCAAUAGCCAUGAAGGCCAUUUGAGCUGAUUCUUCCUCUUCUUCAACUUCCCCUUCGGAGUUGCAUUCAUUCCAAGUAAUCUGGAAGUUGUUGAAUCUUGGCUUUCGAUCAGCUUUCCCAUCUUUCAUUUUCUUCAUGGGGCAUUCGUUUGCAUAGUGUCCAGGCUGUCCACAUUCAUAGCAUUUGUCCACUUGCUUCUUGUUGAAUUCUUGUUUUCCUUUGUUCCUUGCAUUUGAUGAAUAAUUUUGAAAUUGAUUGCUAGGUCCUCCCCUUCUAAACUUCCUUUUAUUCAAGAUUCUCUUGAAGCCUCUUGUGAUGAGAGCAAGAUCAUUAUCAUCACCAUCCGAGUCUUCAUCAUCCAAGUGAGCUGGAUCAUCUUCACCUUGAGUAGUCUUUAGAGCAAUGUUUCUCUUUGCUCUAACAUCCUCUUCCUCCUGCACUUUAGAUUUCAAUUUCAACUCAUAAGAGGUUAGUGAGUUAAUGAGAGAUUCAAUAGGCACAGAAUUUAAAUCCUUAGCCUCUUCUAUUGCAGUCACUUUAUUUUCCCAUUUUUUGCCUAAUGCAUUGAGAAUUUUCCUGUUCUUCUCUCCCAAGGUGUACUCUUUGCCCAACACCUCGAGAUCUUUGAUCAAAUCAUUGAACCUGCAAUACAUUUUGUCAAUAUCCUCAAGAGGUUCAAUUUUAAAUGAUUCAUACUUUGUGACCAAGAUAGUUUUUUUCUGUUCUCUCACGUUGUCACCACCCUCAUGGAUUUCUCUUAGCUUAUCCCACAUUUCUUUGGCCGAUUUACAGCCUUUUACUCUAAUUGAUUCAUUUGAAUCUAAGGCACUAUAAAGAACAUUCAUGGCUUUGACAUUCAAUGUGAGAUUAGUCCUAUCUUGAGCAUUCAUUUCAGCUCUCGUUUUUGGCCGAUGCAAACCUGUAUCUGCAUCAAGAAAGUUAGCUUCAUGCGGUCCUUCACUCACAGUAAAUCAUAGCUCAAUAUCAAUAGAUUGCAAAAAAAUAAUCAUCCUUUCUUUCCAGCUAACAUAAUUGGAGCCACUAAACAUGGGAGGCCUAGUAACAGAUUGCCCCUCAACAAACAUAGCAUGACUGGUUGUCAUCUUUACUCCAAGCAGCUUGAGCUUAAUCUCUAGGAGACCAAGCUCUGAUACCAAUUGUAAGGCCCAAAGACAACCUAAGAGGGGGGGUGAAUUAGGUUGAUUAAAAUUUUAAUCAAAUUUAUGCACUUUUUCUUUAAUAAAAAUUUACCUUCUUUUCUAAUAAUGAUCAACGAAGUAGAUUAGAAGAAGAGAGCAAUGUUGAUUAGAAAAAUAAGUAUAGAUAAGCAAUGAGAAUUUUAUUAAACAAAAAAAAUAAGAUAGAAUAUCAAACCGAUUGUCUACCAAGCUUUCCUCAAACUUGAAGACCAAUCACUAGGUUGAGCAACUUCACUUUGAUGAAAGAUGAUCAACUAGAUGUACAAUGGAGGGAGCACUUCCUCCUUGCCCUAAGCCUCACUUAGUCAAACUAAGAAGUUUUACAAUCUCUCAGAUAACCCUCAACAAAGCUAUAUUAAUGAAACUUUCAACCACAAGAGAAAUGCUCACAAGAAAUUCACACCACUUGGAGAACAAAUCUAGCUUUGGAGACUAUUUUCUAGCUAAAAUAUCUCUUGAGAUCUUGUAAACAAAGUGUGCAAAAGUCUCUUCUUAGUUCAGAACAGUUUGUAUUUGAAGAGGACCAAAAAUGGGCUUCAUUAAUGCUUCCAACGGAUAGAAGGAAGAUGAAGAGUCAGCUAGCCGUUGGGGCUGUCGGACGUCCGACGACCAAAUCAUCGUCCGAACCUAUCGUCCGAAAAUAGCCAAGUUGUAGUUCGGACGUCCGAUGAGUUUUUAUCGUCCGACAGCAUCAGCGUCCGAUCGUCGUCAAAGAGUUGGCAAGUCUUCUUGGAAUUUUUCGAACGUCCGACGCGGUUGAUGUGAGUCCGAGGCGUGCGUCCGAUCCUUCCGGACGUCCAACGCUUCCUUAUGAGUGUGCGACAGAGCUUCCUUAUGAGUUUUUAUCGUCCGACAGAAUCUGUCGGACGUCCGACAUGAGUGUCCUGUUUUUGCUUCUCCUUUUGGUUGAUUUUCAUUUCUUGACAUAUUCGUACCUGAUUCUUUGAUAGGCAAAAAACACUUACAUUUGAAGAGAGUUAGAUAAACAUUUCAAAGUACUUUGUGAUCAUCAAAACCCAAGAAUAACACUUAUGCUUCAAAUUUGUUUCUUGUGGUUGCUGGGAGGGUUAGUCCACUUUUAAGGGAGAUUCUGUCAAAAUUUUUCCAAAACCGUAUACAUAUAUAUAUGUAUAUAUAAUAAUUCUACUAAAUAAAUAAUAUUUUGUCACUUAUCCUUUUGAAAUAAAUAUAUUUAGCUUUGAAACUUCUUUUCUCAUUUAAUUUGGAAAUGACUAUUAUGUGAUUAUAAUUUUUACAUCUAUAGGAAAGUAUAUCUAGUAAGUGGAGAAAAUUAUGCCUACAUUUUGCAUAUUCGAUGAAAAUUCUUCUUUUUAUCUGAUUUUAUAAGUUAAAAAAUUAAUAUGGUCAAUAAGUGUCAUACUUUUCUCAUGAUUAUUCUUAGAGGGAAUUUUAUUAUUUCUUUAUAUAUAUAUAUAUAUAUAUUCUACUCCAAUGGUUCUUGUACUUAGUAACCGGGAGUCUUCAUCUACAAAUGUCGACUCUCGCGUAAAACGGUACUUAAAUUAAGAGUAUGAACUGCAACUUGAAUAUGUGAAAUGUUGAGUAACCGAUGAUUUUCAUCUAAAAAUGUCGAUGUUCGCACCAAAAGACAUUUUUUUCACAACUUAAGUAGUAUUUAACUCUUAAAAGAUAUAUAUAAAAAAUAAGAGAAGAAGCAAAAGGAAAAAAAAAAAGAAAAUAAAGCCCUCUUUAAGAAAAAUAAGAAGUUGAUCAUGAGAUUAGUUAGCAUUUUUAUUGACUAUAGGAGUUGUUUGCUUGUGAAAUUGAAUAAAAAUGAGAAGUUGAGUUGAAUUAGUAAAAUUAUGGUAUACUUGGAUCUUCUUUGUUUGAAAAUUUGAGUGCUUGAAGUUAAUUGAAAGAUCACAUAAGGGUUAUUUACCAUGAUUCAAUGAAGUGAAGUUGAAAUGCUACGUAUGUUUAUUUUCAAUCUUGGAAUAAUUGUUGGUUAAUGUUUUUAAUUGUUUGAGGACAAGCAAUGAUUCAAGUGUGGGGGUAUUUAAUAAGGGUUUAUUUUACGUAUUUUUAGGUGCAUUUUAUUAGUUGAUUUUAGUUUGAUUUCUUAGUUUUAUAACUAAAAUAAAUUGAUUUUGGUAAAAAUAUACAUUGUUUGGUAAAAGUGGCAAUUAUUGCAUUUCUAUUGAUUUUAGUAAUAAAACUUCAUUUUUAUGCAGGUUUAAUGAUUCAAUCAUCAAAAUAUGUCAAGUGAGAUGAAAAAUAGAUAUUUGGUGAUGAAUUCAAGUGGUUAAAAGAGAAAUGAAGUGAAAAACGAUCAAAGUGAGAAAAUGCAAUUCAAGACAGUUUUGACACUUUUCGGUAUUUCGUCUAUAUCUGAAUCUACACUUAUCGGAUUGAAGUAAUUUUUAUACCAUUUUAAAGCUAAGAAAAAGACCUACGAUUGUUAUGAAGAUAUCGAAAUGCAAUUUUGCUGUUUCCAUGGACAAAAAGUCGGAACACAAUAGCUGCACUCUGUAGUCGAAAAUCAAAACAAGGGUUUGACUAGGUGAUAGUAUUUCGACCAUAUCUCAGGUUACAAAACUCCGAUUUGGACGAUUCUUGAAGAAUUGUAAAGCUAACUCAAAGGAUUUGUGUUUUUCACAAAAACUAGUUCGACCUACAUCAUAGAGAAAAUAGCAGUUGAAGCAAGGCCAAGUUGAAAACGCGAGUUGACAAAACACGAAUUUAUGCCGCGUUUUGUGUAGUCGCAUUUUGUAGCCGAAAAGUUGCCAUUUGCUCAGCCAUUUUUCUUGUAUUCAUACUAAUUUCCAGCCAUAAGUUGCAAGGGAAUUCGGUGCACGUGCUUCAAAAGACAAAAGAGCAAGAAAGGUGGCUUAUUUUCAAGUCAAAAACAUUGGUUAUUGACUAUCCUAAUAAAGUUGAAAUUUGGGAAUCAAAAGGUGGAAUUUGACUUGGAAAAAUGGAGCUCUUGAGCAGUUUUUAUGCAGAGAUAUUGGGAGAGGUCUGGACACCAUACGUAGGGAGUUUUUCAGCUGGUAACAUUUUCUCUCUAGUUAGAAGUUCUUGAGGAAGCAAUUGGAGACUUAUCUUGUAAUCAUCUUGUACAAGAACAUAGCAGAAAUGUGAGGGCUUCACCAUUAAUUGGCUAAACUUUCUUCUAUCUUUCUUGUAAUUGUACUUUAUGAUGUUUUGCAUUAAUAAACUUGUGAAUUUGAUUUUUAUUUCAUUCAUGAGUAGCUAAUUUUCUUUAUCUAGGGAGUAGAUAAAAUUUAUGGUUAAAUAAUAUGAAUGGAAUGUGAUUUACACUUGUUAUAUCUUUAUUAACUUGUCUAUUUGUGCAGUUGUAAUUACUUGUCGUUGUUUGAUCACCAAUAGCAUGCUCAUAGUUGUUAUUAAUCAAUGAAAAUUGAUAGUAACAAUAGAAAAAUGUGAGUAGAGCUUGAGUUGUAUGUUCAUGAAAAUAGAUGUACACUUAAGUGAAUUUUCCAGCAUUUCAUGAAAGAAAACAGAGUAGAACUAGUAUUUCACCAUGAAAAUAGGGAAAACUAUAUUGUUCUAGGCCAUUUCAUCAUGAGAAUGAGAUUUGGUAAUAUUGGAAAUGAAUCCAUGGUUAAACAAGAAAAAUAACAAGAGGUAAAUCUAUUCAUUUGUAUUGUUUAUGGCAUAAGUGGAAUCUACAUCCCUAGAUUCAAUCUUUAGUGAAAUUUCUCCAUUUGCAUUUAACAUUGAUUAAACUAGAUUUGUAGACAAUAGCAGCAUUAUAAUUUUUUUGCUCAGAUUUAUUGUAAGUCUAAAUAAUAGAGAAAAUAAGGGCCUAGUACUUGUUUAAUUUGCUCCUCGUGGGAUCCACCCGAUACAUAUCCUACAUUACGAUUUUGACCCGUACACUUGCAGUCAACGGGUAUAAAAUUGGAUUUAAACUUGCAUUGAUAUUAAAAUUCCGUCAAAUUUUUGGCGCCAUUGCAGAGGAUGACGAUGAUGCCGAGGGGGAUGACUGACUUGGC
rnacentral:lncRNA from 1 species